AAUCAGGCCACCGUAUCGCACGCAAGUUAGCGGCACCAACCACCACAACUUUGUUCCACGCACAAAGAUAACACGAGUUCUCCCACAUCAGAAGGGGAAAAGUUUACACGGUCAUAUCUCGUGACUAAUUCACGAGAGAGAAGGGCGUUCACAAAUAUCACACAGGAAACAGCAUAAUAACAUCAUAAAUCCGGCCAUCUUCAAGCCGAUGGCCAUCAGAAGCAGCCUCCUAUGUUCAAGCUUCCGCUCAUGAUCACCGGCACGCCGCGCUCCGCGCACAGGCACUUGAGCUUCCACUCCGGUAUCACCUCGCUCUCGCCCCGACCGCUCCUCUGCCACCGGCUCGACGACGCGCUCCUCGAACUCUCCUUCCCGCGCUCACGUUCCUGCUGCUGCUGCUGCUGACCUCUUCCCGCCGCUCUAUCCUCGGCCACCUCCUGUGCCACAAAAUCCAUCUCUCAACCACGGGAGCACUCUCCUGAGACAGAUCUAUCCAGUACUAGGGAGACGGGAGGUUGCCGUGGUGCCUUUAAGAUAAGCUCCCACGAAGCAUCUGGUAGGGUAAGUUAAUGCGGUGGGACCAACACUUGUUAUUUUGUACAACCGAGUUGCGGUAGAAAAUGACACGAGGCGCUGGCUGUCGGCAUGGAAGCAUAGAAAACGUCAGGUUGUCGGUUCCUGUGGAUAGAGAUAAGAAGCGGCAGGUACGGCGUAUGUGUGCAUUAAUGUUGUAUUUAUCCUUUGUUUUUUUUCUUAUCUAUGCGAAUAAAGUCAAGUAGAUCAAUCAUAUAAAUUCUCUUUGACGACGGUGUUCUUCGAAAAAAUUAUAACACACCCCAAAUAUUUUUUCAAAAAUACAUAAAUUUAUGGAUGAUUUCUCAAAUAGAAUUUUUACUUUACCAAUUUUUUUUCGAAGCAUCUGUCCAGCUAGUCACUCUCUUCUUCCUGAAUAAUCGUUCUUACGUAGUCCUCUGGCAUGAGGAUAACUUAUCGCAAUGUCGUUCGUAGAUCUGUCUCUUCCACUUGCCCAUAACUUACGUCAUUGAUCUUAGGAGAGAAAGAAAGAGGGUGCAUCAUCAAUCGUAAGUAAGGAUAAAGAGAAGAGGAUUGUGCACCCUCAUUGUUAGACGCUGGGGAUGAAAGAGAGGCGCACGCCUUCAUUGUUGCUACCUCAUGCGAGGGUUGCAGGCAAAACGUGCAAUGGCUUGAUUGGUGGAGUCAACAGAGGCGGUUUUGUUGGUUAUGGGUGAUGGUGAAUCUGACAAAAGAAUGAGCAAAGUGAUAUUUUCACAUUGUUAGGAGUGUUGUUUCAUAAUUUUUUAAAAUAGAGAUGCUAAGCAAAAAAUUAAAAAAAAUAAAAAGUUUUUUCAAUAAUUCAUCUUAAAUUUAUAAUUAUUAAUUUAAAUAUUUUAUAACUUAUUAUGAUGUGAUAAAUGAUUAUUAUUAGACAUGAUAAGAAAAUCAAUAGCAUAUCACAAUGACGAUAUUAUCGAAGUUUAGUUGAAUCAUUUUGGACUAGUGGUAUAUACUCUAAAUAAAUUGUCUUAUGUUUCGAUAGAAAAAUAUAAUAUUAUCACGAAGAAUAUUCAUCUUUAAGUACAGAAAAUGAUAAAAAAAAAAUCUUAUUGACAAAUGCAUCACAUAAAGAGAAUUAGAAAAAAAAAUAUUUUGAAUAAUUCAUAUUAUAAGAAAUAUUUCAUUGACCACAAAUGGUUAGGUAAAGAUCUAACUAUAAAAUAUAAAUAUAAACAUGAUUAUCAAGGUCGAGUAGUCUCUUUAUCGAAACCAAUAUCGGGAAGUGAUCACAUCCGAAAAAACAUUAAUCUUCGUGCAUAAGAGAGCUUAUGAAUCCUCAAAAAAAUAUUUUUAAUUAAUAAUCAAAAUGUAAUUAAUAAUCAAAAUUUAGGUAAAGAGCUUAUUAAUCACUCAAAAAAGUUUACAAGCUCAGGGUAAAAAAAAUGUUUUUAAUUAAUAAUCAAAAUUUGAUUACUUUCAAGGGGUAAUUAUUGAGAUUUUAGAAUUGUGACGGUAUAAAUGUGAAGAAAACCCAAACUGAAAAAUAAUAGCUUGUUUUUGUUACAACAAAUACAUGAUCAUAAGAUUGUUUUUGUUAUUCGAUAUACGAAAGUACUACUAGACUUUCAGGUCGUACAUAUAAGCUCAUAACUAUUUGACUGCCAAAACUCUCUUUUUGAGAAACAAAUUUUGAUUCUUCAGAUUCUACUCGGCCACUUUCUAAUUCUUCUUUCAAAAGCUUUUCUCGAGCAUUCGUCCUCCCAUCUCAAGAGAUUUUUGAGUUGAGUGUCGUAGGGGGAUUUCGUCACACAAUCUUCUUUGGAGCAUCUUUAAUCUAUGUGAUAGUUAAUAACACCUUUAUUUUUGCACAUCGAUUACCUUAACUUAGUGAAAAGAUUAUAUUAUAUAUAUAUAUAUAUAUAUAUAUAUAUAGUCUAAUACCUAGAAUACCUCUAGUCAUUUAUCUUUUUUUUCUUUCUUUUCUUAUGGAUAGAUCUAUAAGAUAAAUCAGUCUAGUUAUAAUAUUUUUAUAUUUUCAUGGUAUUACUAGAAAUAUUAUAAUAUUAUAUAAAAUACUAAAAUAUAGCGUAAAAAUAUUAUAAUUAAGACAAUUUAUCUUAUGUAUUGCCCUAUAAGAAAAGAGGUAAAGAAAAAAAAAGUUUGGUAGUUGGUUACCAAAUUAAGGGUAUGCCAAGUAUAAGAAAGAAAAAAUCUAUUAGCAACCCUUUUUUAGUAUGGAGAUUUAUAUUGACAACUCUUUUGUUUUGUCUUAUUCUCUUUCGAGUGAUGAGUGAUGGAUGAUAUAUCAUAUCAAAAUGAUAAGUAGUGUCGAGGGGAGAUGGAGGAGAUUUAUAAUUGAGGAUUAUUGAUAAUUAAAAUAUUAUAAAUAAAUAAAAAAUUUAUUAUUAUUUAUUUAUGGGUUGUCAAUAACAAGGAGGUUAUCGAUAGCAAAAAAAAAAAAAAAGGGUUGCCAAUAGCAAGAUUCUUUUGCUAUUCACAUCUCAUUUUUUAAAUUAUUAAUAUUCUUAAUAUAUCUCUCUACAAAUAGAUGUAAACAUUUUUAUUAUUUUUCCUCUUUUCUCCUAAUCACGACAUCUACAACAUCAAAUGAUAUCGAACAAACGCAAAUGCUCUGAUCAUCUUUUCAUUAUUAUUAUUAUUAUUCUUUUAAUCAUGAGCCAUGUUGAGAGGGCAUCAUCACGAUCAGCGAGCUAUGAGCAAUAAGUGGUAUUAAGGUUUGUGAAAAACAAAAGAAUCAAAUUGGUAAUUGAGAUAGUGUAAAUAAUAAAAUUAUACUUAAUUUUUUUUUAAGGGAUUACCAACAGUAAAAUGAAAUACAGUUAAAAAAUUCUAUAAAUAAAAAAAUACUUGUCAAAAAUGUCAAAGAGUGAAGGGUUUUUUUUUUUUUUUUGUGGGGAAAGAUUCGACCUAAAAUAUAUAUGUAAAUUAAUGAAAUAUAUUCGACAUUAAAGAGAAGAGCAUUGAAUCGUCUGCUCUUUCCCGUUUUCCGUGGAAUCACUAUCUUUACCGUCCCCCGCGUUGGAUCUUUCUGGCUCACGACACCGAAUCCAGCCGCAGGAUGAUGAUCCCUCCAUGACGCGUCCACACCAGCUGUCAAAUCUUGUCUGAUUCCCUCGAUGACGCGCCCCAUCGCUCGCCAUGUUCUCUCUUCCCAUCUCCGCGGCCCAAUGACCUUUGUCUGCCCAGCUGCGAUGCCUUACAUCCCUCCAUCGAAGUCAGUGUCCAGGCAAUGAUCCGCCGACACUUUCUCACUGACUCGUAAAACCCGCCCUCCUCUCUCACCACCUCCCUCUUUGCCCCCCCACCAUGGCGCGUAGGAACACUCCCUCGCUCGUUUCUCCUGCCGGAAGCCGGCAGGUAUCCCCAUUGCCGUUCUUGUUCUUUGCCCUGCUGUUCUUCGCCUGUUCCGGCCCCGCCAGCGAAGCCAGAUGCGUGUUCCCGGCGAUCUUCAACUUCGGGGACUCCAACUCCGACACCGGCGGCUUCUGGGCGGCGUUCCCGGCGCAGACCGGCCCCUUCGGCAUGACCUACUUUAAAAGACCGUCCGGCCGCGCUUCCGACGGCAGGCUCUUCAUCGAUUUCUUAGGUACUGACCAUGCUUCGAUGGUUUCUCUUUCUUGCUUGGUGGUGAAAGAUGGCUCUGCUUCUUGGAAAUGCGCAGCUCAGGCACUCGGAUUGCCGUUCCUCAGCCCCUACCUGCAGUCCAUCGGCUCGGACUUCCGGCACGGCGCCAACUUCGCGACGUUGGCCUCGACGGUACGGCUGCCCAACACCUCCCUCUUCGUCACCGGAAUCAGCCCGUUCUCCUUGGGGAUUCAGCUCAACCAAAUGAAAGAUCUCAGAACCAGAGUUCUUGCGCUGAAGGGAACUGGUAAAAUGCCACUCAUUCUACAUGUGUGUUUCAUGGUUUCUUUAGUCGUCGAAUGAUGCAGACAGAGGAGCAAAUAUUUUAGCCUGUUGGUGAACAUGAAAACGAUUUACAGUACUGAAUGAUCUAAAAUUAACCAUGCCAUGGAAAGCUUCUAAGAUCGAUCAUGUUCAUGAUUCAGAACAUCUUCCUCCUGGCAAUGUCUUCGGUCAAUCACUCUACACCUUCGACAUCGGCCAGAACGACUUCACCUCCGAACUGGGAUCUCUCGGCAUCGGAGCAGUCAAGCAGUAUCUUCCUCAGGUCGCAUCUCAGAUUGCCUGGACCAUAAAGGUGAAACAGGAAGCUGCUGUCAUCUGUGUUCCGCAGGAAGCGGAUUCACUCGCCAUUUCUGUGUUAUGCAGGAGAUCCAUGACAUCGGAGGGCGGACGUUCAUGGUGUUCAACCUCGCCCCCGUUGGAUGUUACCCAGCUUUUCUGACAGAGCUUCCUCAUAACACUUCGGAUUUAGACUCAUACGGCUGCAUGAUUUCCUACAACAAUGCCGUCGUCGACUACAACAAUCUGUUGAAUGACACUCUCCAACACAUGAGAGACAUGCUUCCGGGUGCCACCAUCAUAUAUGUAGAUACUCACUCUGUCAAGCUCGAGCUCUUUCGACAUCCCAAAAACCACGGUAAUAACCUCUCCGGAAACAUUAUUGGCCUCGACUCGAUCAUAAUUCUCCGAGCAACAUGACGAUUAGCAGACUUCCGUCGUUCCCACACCCUUCAAUACCGUGCAAACAGGAACAUAGUCCACCAUUGACUUUGGCUUGGGAAGAACUCGAACAUCUAAACUCGAACAUCGCGUGAAUCUAAGUUUUGCCUUCUCCAUGCAAAUUUAUUGGCACUAUCCUUCGUUCAUCAUUCCCGAUCAUGACCUAACUAGUGACAAAUACAGGACUCAUCCACGGAACCAAAGCUUGCUGCGGACAUGGAGGUGGUGCUUAUAACUUCGACCCACAGGUUUUCUGUGGAAACAGCAAGGUGAUAAAUGGCAUCAAGGUGACUGCAACUGCUUGUGGAGAUCCACAAAACUACGUGAGCUGGGAUGGGAUUCAUGGCACAGAAGCUGCAAACAAACGAGUAACCGGGGCUGUACUCGGAGGUUCCAUCUUUCAUCCUCCCUUCCCUCUUUCCAAGCUUUGUGAUCUCCAGCCAAUAGGUUAAGCAGCAAUUAGCUUUUGUGUUUAAGAAGGUGCAAACAAGAAAUCAGAGCUUAUCAGGUCUAAGAGUGACGAUAAGUUACUUAGUUUUUAUAGUGGUAUACAGUGUCUUCUUUGAAGUGGUAUGAGCUUGAAGGUGACUCUACAAUAAAUGAUAUGAGCAUAAAUUUAAAGAAGAUGAUGGCUGAUGAUAAAGUACAAAGUUUAAUUGAACAUACAUACCCUAUGAAUGAUUUGAUUGUUUCUUUUACAAUUUAGAACUUAAUCGUUUCCUUCCAAUCUUUAAUGGAGAUGACGAGUGCAUGGUGUCUUCACUGUCACUCUCACUGACUGCCAUUUUUUUGUUAUAAGCUAUCGAAUUAUGGAGGCCCAAUUAAGGUAUUCGUUCCUCAUUUGUGUUUAAGCCUACCUCCUACUAAAGUUCAAGCUUUUCUCUGGUACACUCACUCUUAUACAAGGUAGAGAUUGUGAUAUCUUGAUCUAGUUGACAUUGAAAGUAGAUUAAGUUAAUGAAUUAAUUAUCUCAAUAAAAAAUUAUGAUAAUUGAUAUCAAAACCAUCGGUAGGAAAAGAAUCAUUGGAUAUGUCAUAGCAUUGAAUUAUUAUUGGACUUUACCUCAUAUAUAUAUAUAUAUAUAUAUAUAUAUAUAUAUCAAAUAAUUUAAACUUACGAAAUCGACGAUUUUGAUUUUCCCAACCUAUGAAUCAAAAGUGAAUUAUUUGGAUGUCCCAAUCAAAAUCUGUCUCAGUGGCCAUCUUAAGAAGAUUGGGUGAGGUUGACAUGACACUUCGAAUCGGAACAAAAGGCCCCUCCCCUAUCACUGUUGGAUGAGCGAGAGUGGUGUCUUUGGGACCUCAUGUUUUCUUUCGACCGGACUACGCCUCGCCUUAGUGAGAUGUUACCAUCACAAUGUCCAAAUUUUCUACUCGAUGUGAUGUACGCCAACUUACACUUGCAAGUCAACAGACAAAGUUACGCUUCACAUGUAUCGUUUGGAGUUAUAAAAGGAUUUAAAUUAUUUUACAAAUGUUCGUGUACAAAAAGGAAACACCAAAUAUCAAGAUUUGAUUUUGGCUUGUGAUGCUAGCUCGUGAAGUCAACGCAAAGUUGGGGAUUCAUAUUGUUGAGAAGAAAUCUUCUAGCAACAACAAUAAUAAUAAAAUUAUAAGUAUUAAUUAUUUAGAAUUGAUUAUAUGCGUCUUUUGUUGUCGUUGAUAUUUCUAAAAAUUUAUAUGUUUAGUUAAGUUUAAAGUGCUCGAGUCCUUAUUUAUAGUAUCUAUUAAGUCUUUUAUGUUUUUUUCAAUCUUUUCUCGUAUCACUAAUAUUAAUUAUUUUACCUCUUAUGAUUAUCUCAUCCGGAGAUCCCUUCAAUAAAUGCUCAUAUUAUCUUAAAUAAUUUUUUUUCUUUUUAUCUUUACUCGAAACGAUACUUAGUUGUUCACAAAUAAAAGUAUUUCUUUUUCUAUUUCUAGUAACUUUAUGCAUCCAUCUAAUAUUUUGAUCUUAAUAACAUAAUUUUUUAAUAUAUUUUUUCUUAACUAUCCAAUAUUUAAAUUCAUAAAUUAUUAUUGGUCUCAUAACUGUAUUAUAAAUUUUUUUUUCUGUAAUCUUAAAAGUAUUCGAUGAUCACACAAGAUUUCUGAUGUCUAUCACCAUAUUAACCAUUUAGUUUUUACUCCAUGAAUAAUAUCUUCAUCGAUCUUUUCAUCUCGUUGAAUAACAGAUUCCGGAUACUUAAAACUUUUAUUUAAAGAAGCUUUUAAUCAUUCUGAUUUAAUUAUAUUCUAUUGUUUAUUUCUAUAAUCACUAAGAUUAAAUUAUAUAUAUUCAAUUUUAAUCAUACUUAAUCUAAACAAAUUUCUACUAGAACUAAUAUAAUAAAAAAAUAAAUUUUCUACUCGAACUAGACAAGAAUUAUCAAACCACGUAAAAUUUGAAGAUUAUUGCUUAACUUUGUGUUUGAUUAUUCUUGAUUUCUAGAUUUUUUCAAUACAAUUAUGUUUUUAUUAUUGAAACUUAGAAUAAGUAUUUUUUAUCAUCUCGAAUAGGCUAUAUUUUCGAAAUGGAUGAAAUGACACAUUAACGUCUGAUCGAGUGAUUGGUUUGACAAUAAUUUACAGAAACUAAUUAUCUAUUAGAUAACAAACAAGACAAUACGACUAAAGUAGUGAAACUUAUGCCAUGCAAACUUUUGACGUAGCUCGCUAUAAAAAGAAAGAAUGCAAUAGGCACUCGACUCAAAUUCUAGAGAGAGAGAGAGAUAAAAGUGACUUUCUUUUUACCAUGUCAUAAACAGACAUAAAAAGAAUCUCUAUUUUAUUUUUUUUUUGCAAAAAAGUUUGAUUUGUGGUUACACUAGAGUGAGUCAAAAUGGUACUAUUAACAUCAUUUGAAUCAUGCAAAAGGAUGGAGGUCGAGAAAGCUAAUUGUAAGUGAUUAGGAUAGUUAGGACAAUUAUUGGAGUGGCACAAUUGUUUGUCGAGGUGAGAUCAACGUGGCAUAGUUGUUUCUUCGGUGGCGGUGGCGCAACUACCUACCUAUGUAAUAAUUGAGGUGAUGAAUAGUUACCCUCUUAAAAGACAAUUAUGUUAUAUAGGGAGACAGCAUAGCUAUCUCCCUAUAUAACAUAACUUCCUAUUGAGGUAGUGUGACUUCUCCUAAGAGUAGAAAACCAUCUCCCUAUAUAAUCUAUAAUGUCCUAUUUAGAUCUCUACUUAAACCAAAGCUUUGUCACCUUCGAUUAGGUUGAAAUCAGUGCUUUACGGAAAAAUUGCUGAGCAACUCAAAGCUUUUAGUCCUUCUGAUUUGAUAAUCUCAUCUACAACUCAAGCUUUCAAAAUCUUCCAUGCUCAUGAAUCAUUCAACAAUGUCAUGCAAUGAUUAAAUGAUUACCACUGGCUAACAUUUCAUAUCUAUCUUUUUUUAAGAUUAUUAUUUUAAAUUAUAUUAAAUGACUUUUCAUGCAUGCACUUAAAUUUCUCACUUAUACAAUAAUACACUAAUAAAUUGGAUGUCUCGAUACAUCUAAGUAUGCAUAUAACAAACAGUCCCUAUCCUAAAGUUUGUGGGUUUUGAUGCAAUAUUCUACCUCCAUAGGAGACAUGAAGCACUAGAUAUACUAAUGAUUAGCAUGAGUCACACAAUAGGGGACAUGAAGCACUACAAGGUCCUUUAUAUAUAUAUAUAUAUAUAUAUAUAUAUAUAUAUAUAUAUAUAUAUAAAAUGGAGCCUCGCAUGCAAAUGAUAAGACUUUGAUCCACUAAACGAGAUGACAACUAAAAUCUCGUGAUCCAAAAUGGCAACUUUGAUUCAAUAGAAUUUGUCAAUGUGGCUAAGUAAUCGAUGCAUCCACUCUUACUCGAAUGGUGGGACCAUCAAAUCCUUCACAUUCAAUAAUUUCGAAUGUCACAAUCUCCACCACAUUAUUUUAAGACACACACGUAACAUUACAACAUUAGCCAAAACAUUUUAAUCGUAUUCUUCAUGCGUGGUGAGAAGUGUGGGGUUGUAAAGGCAUCCAAGAAAAUACUUCAAUUGCGAUUAAAUUAACCAUAGGAACUUUUCAAACAGUUAUAUUAUGAAUAUAACGCAAUUGGAUCCGUAUAGAAUAAUACAUCACAAUCAAGAUUCGUUUUCAUGACAAUUCAAUCCACCACUAACGUAGGAUCUAUGCAUGUAUUAAUAAUACAUACAUAUGGCCUCGAUUUCAUCAAUCAAUGCCGGGAAGAGAACAAUCUUUCAAUCGAUUUCUUUCACGUCCAAAUCAUCCAACACGCAAUUGUCAUCGCCGCUAAUUAUUUUAUUUUAUUUUUUAUUAUUAAAAAAAACAAAUGUUUUUGGUGGAAGAGAAUACAUAAAUAUCAUAUUUUAAUUUAUUUUGAACUUCUAAACCUUACAAAUGCUUUUUCUAUCAAGUGAAAAGGUAAUUAACUAGAGAUUAUAAAAUGAAAACCAAAUGAAUAGAUUAGGAAGCUACCGUUAGAGUCGGCACCAAGAGGGGGGGUGAAUUAGUGCAGCGGUCAAAUAUCGUCGGUUUAAAAACUUCGUUGCGAUAAAACUGUUUCCGACGUAAACCGAUUUCGGAAGCUUAAUAACUUGGAAGCGUAUGAAAGCGUAGUGACUAAGUAAAGUAGUUUGCUGUAUGUAAAUGACAAGAAUAAAAUACAAACCAGUGGUUCGGUCUACGUGACCUACAUCUACUUUCGGCGAACUCCUCCGAUGAGAUCACCGACGUCCACUAGAUGCCUUCCUUCAAUAGGCGAAGGCCAAUCACCUUAUACACCCCUCUUCUCCUUUUACCGGGUUUAGGAGACAACCCUUAGAAGCACUCACUCACUUCUCUCUCAAACUAGUCAACACUUAAAAGAGGGAGAGGAGAUCACACAAGAUUUUAGCAGCGUUUCUUUCUUUUUAAACUCAGCGUUUCUUUCUUUUUAAACUCUUUGUGCCACGAUGGUGAGAAUUCUUGGGGCACUGUUUGGGCUUCUUAUUGGGCCCAACACAAUUCUUUCAUGGGCCUAGAUGGCCCUUAAUUGGGUUGGCCCAAAUCCAAGCCCAAUUACGUACUAAUUAUGAUUCCUAAGACAUAUUCUAAGCUAAACAUGUCCGUAAGUCUUGGUUCUUCUAGCGAGCUUCCGGCGAACUUUUGACGAUCUCUCGGUAAUGUUCCGACGAACUCCCGGCAAGCUCCUAAACUUCACGACGAUCUUCUUGGCGAGUUCCGACGAGCUUCUUUGCAAGCUCCACGACUUCUCGGCUAGUUCCGCCAGAACUUUCGACGAACUCUCGAACUCCCAAUGAUGUCGCGUCCUUGACUCCGGGACUUCAGUUUGCUUCAUGCCUUGCUCUCGUAGUUAAUCCUGCACAUGUAAAAACACACUUCGAUCUAGAAAAUUAAUACUAAGCAUUAAUCAAGUUGUCCGGUAUGUCAUUGGUCCCUCGACGCUUCGUCUAAUUUUUCGUCGCAUCGUCCUCUCUUGCGGCCUAUUGCCCAAUCGGCUAGUUGACUCCGCAACUCCGAUAUCCUUGGCGCAAUAUCCUCUCUUCUUGGCCCGAUGCCCGAAUCUAUGGCCCGAAGCCUUCUGUCGAUACGUCGACCGAUCCACCGGUCCGACGUCCAAUCUUCUGACAUGUUCCUCAUUCUCAACAUGAUUUUUCUUGCUUUAAUUGUCUCAUCCUGAUCGAAGCAUCAUACGUCACUCAAAAUACAGAUUAAAACAUAAAUACACAUCAGUUGGUUUCAUCAUCAAAAUACGAGAUUCAACCGCUACUUAGCUACAUCAUUACUUUUUCUUUUUUAAAGAUAUGGGGGUGUUUAUAUUUAAUAAAAAAAGUAAAAAAAUUCCCCAGUCAAUAUUCAAAAUUUAUCGAUAUUUAUUAUCCGUAAAUAUAAUAAAAUUUGAAUGCUUUAGAGGGUUUUAGUUUAUUUUUAUUAUAGAACUAACUUAAGGUAUUAUUACCCACUUAACAUCCUCGUCCAAUCGUUAUUAGAGAUCGAUUCGAUGAGAUAAUCGAUCCAUUAAUUUUUAUUAUUAUUAAUCUAAUUUUAUUAUAGUAAUCUCACCUGAUUAUUAUAAAUCGAUUCAGAUUCUGCAUGCAUGGGAAGCCAUCAACAUUCGUCCAAGUGCGCAGCGUUCUACGCGUCGGCUGCAGGCACAGCGACUCCUGGCAGUCCUCAGGACCACUGGACUUUCCCAGAAAUAGCUGGACCCACAUGUCUCCCCCAGAGGGAACCCGCCACGUGUACCCGCUACAGGAAACCCAAAUCGACAGAGCAACAAACGAAACAAAAGGCUGUCGUAUUGUCUUAUUAUGUAUAACAUUUACAAAAACCUAAAACAGUAAUAAAAAAAGAGAGAUAUAUAUAUAAACCUUUUAUAAGAGAAAAAUAAGGGGGAAGUCGUCGCAUUCGUUUCCUCCUCUUCUUCCAGCCACACACACACAUACACACACACACACCACCGAAGGUCCCGAUCUCCCCUGCAAACCGGAGUGACGCCGGGCUCUUUCUUGCCAUCGGAUAACCAGUCUUCUUUAAAGCAACGGCAUCGCACAGAGACGUAACCAAUCCGUCCUUCGCCUCCGACGACGAAGAAGAAACAGGUUUACUUUCUGGAUUUGCUUUCUUCGAUCCGCGAUGUUAAAUCUUGGUCCUUCUGUCCACGAGACGUCAGAGGUGACGGCAAUCCAAGGCAGAAAGCGUGGUCCGACUACAACCGGCCUUUAAAGAUCCAUCAUUGUUCGUUGACAGAUCCUGCGAGCCGCUUUCCUUCACGGUGACCGGUUCACGGUUGCCACCGGCUGAUUUGUUUUCGUUCGCCUUUUCUUUUGAUAAGAUGUCUCUUCUUUUGUCACUAUGUUCUGGUCUUGAGAAUUAUCGCAUUCUGAGGAGUUGCCUCGAUCGUGCGUUCAUGAUUGCCUGCUGUGAUUUCCGGUUUUGAUUUCCUUUUGUGAUGCUUGUGAAGGCCCGCUCCGUUCUGUGCUACCGCUGUUCUGGGAUCAUACACUUUUGUUGCUCUUGAUGCGACUGGUGCAUAUGAUUUCGGGAACGUAGAGUUCGUCCAUGUUUGGUGCAAGGUCUCUGCCUUGCGACGUAUCUGACAAGGUAGUGGAGACUCCAAGAUUUUGGCUGUAUAAGAAUCAAUAAUUGAUCCAAGAAGCAAGAAGACUGUGACAGACUUCACACGCCAUGGUUGCUCUUGAAGGUAAAGUCCGCGGACCUGUACUCUCGCAUCAAUUCUUGCAUUUUUCUGCUCCACUGAGUUCUUUCUCUUGGCUAGAUGCUUGGAUGGCCUUCUGUGGUGAUUCUGCUUCUGCCGAUCAAGAUGGCGGUUCUUUCGGAUUUGGCGAACUAUUCUACUCUUCUUCAUGCAUGAACCACAUGUUCGUCAGUUUUGUCGAUGCGAUCCUCAUCAUCGCGUUCCUGCUCAACUUUGUCUGCAAAGUCUCAAGCAGAUCAGUCGACGCUCGACCGCUCUUCGGUCUGUCUUCUUCGUUACGAAUAACCGCUGCUGUGUUCAACUCUUUGCUGGGGUUGGUCUAUUUGGGCCAUGGAUUGUGGAUGCUGGUCGGCAAUCAAAGGACUGGCAUGGAUGGUGUGCACCCUGCACAUCAGUGGCUACUUGUUUUGUCGCAGGGCUUUUGUUCGGUGCUCGUCGUUUUGAUUGUUAGCGUCAGGCGCACACGAUUUGGACACACAUUCAUUAGGAUCUGGUCUCUCGCUGCUUCAUUCUCCACUGGAUUUGUAUGCUUUUCGUCCGUUCUAGCGGUCCUCGCAGAGAAAAAAGCAUCUUUUCUGAUUUGUGUGGAUAUCUUAUCCUUACCAGGAGCUGUUCUGCUGCUACUUUGCACCUUUAAAGGGUACCAGGCAGAUGGUUACGAAGCAGCUGACGGAUCUCUGUAUGAACCUCUCAAAGGUGAAUCCAACCCCAGUGAAGAAAAUUCAGAUGAAUCUGUGACUCCUUUCGCAAAAGCUGGAUUCUUUAGUAGGAUGUCAUUCUGGUGGUUGAACCCUUUGAUGAAGAAGGGGUAUCAAAGGCCCCUGGAGGAAAAGGAUAUCCCUCAGCUUGGAAAGGUAGAUCGAGCUGAGACUUGUUACUUGCUGUUUCUGGAGCAGCUAAAUAGACAGAAGGAGAGGCGACAAACCAGUUCGCCCUCGAUAUUGUGGGCUAUAGUUUCUUGCUUUCAGAAGGAGAUCUUAGUGUCUGGGUUUUUCGCAUUGCUUAAGAUACUGACACUAUCGGCUGGUCCACUGCUUCUCAAUGCCUUCAUCAAGGUGUCAUUAGGGAACGAGGUCUUCAAGCACGAAGGUUAUGUGCUGGCCUUUGGAAUGUUCUUGGCCAAAUGUUUGGAGUCAUUGUCCCAAAGACAGUGGUACUUUCGCACCAGAAGGAUAGGACUGCAAGUGCGGUCUUUGUUAUCAGCGGCUAUUUAUCAGAAGCAGUUGAAGCUGUCAAACUCGGCUAAAUUGGAUCAUUCCUCCGGGGAGAUAAUGAACUAUGUUACAGUGGAUGCCUAUAGGAUUGGGGAGUUCCCAUUUUGGUUUCAUCAAACGUGGACUACAAGCCUCCAACUCUGCAUUGCUUUGGUAAUUCUCUACCAUGCAGUAGGCCUUGCAACGAUUUCGGCGAUGGUUGUGAUUGUCCUCACCGUGCUUUGCAAUGCUCCCCUGGCAAAGCUACAACAUAAGUUUCAGACGAGGCUAAUGGAAGCUCAGGAUAUCAGGCUGAAGGCUGUAUCAGAAGCCUUGGUGAACAUGAAGGUGCUGAAGCUGUAUGCUUGGGAAACACACUUCAAGAAGGUGAUCGAAGGUCUGAGGGAAACCGAAUGCAAGUGGCUGUCGGCAUUUCAGCUUCGGAGAGCAUACAAUAGCUUCCUCUUUUGGACGUCCCCUGUACUUGUGUCAGCGGCUGCGUUUUCCACAUGCUAUUUUCUUCACAUUCCUCUUAAUCCUAGCAAUGUCUUCACCUUUGUGGCGACGUUGCGUCUCGUCCAAGACCCAGUGAGACAAAUACCUGAUGUGAUUGGUGUUGUGAUUCAAGCUAAGGUUGCCUUUGCGCGAAUACUCAAGUUUCUGGAUGCACCUGAGCUACAAAGCCACCAACUAAGAAACUUUUCCCAGGCCAACGUCGAGCACCCAGUUGCGAUCGAGGCUGGAAGCUUUUCUUGGGAGGAGAACACGAUGAAGCCAACGCUUAGGGGUAUUAACUUGGUGGUUAAGGCUAAGGAGAAGGUGGCAAUUUGCGGUGAAGUUGGCUCAGGAAAGUCAACUCUCUUGGCUGCUAUUUUGAGAGAGAUCCCAAAGACAGAGGGAAUGGUACGUUCUUGUUCAUCCUACUCAAUUUUUGUCGAUACCGAAUCAUACUAUUGCAUCAUUGCUCGUCUACUGCAAUCCUAAUUCUUGCUCUUUCUUUGGCUGUUUGUGAUUUAUAACUGGUUUUGCUUCUUCUCUUCUUUUUCAUCUUGGAUGAACAGAUUCAAGUUUCAGGAAAAAUUGCAUAUGUUUCUCAAACAGCAUGGAUACAAACAGGAAGCAUACAAGACAACAUUCUGUUCGGAUCAGCUAUGGAUCAGCAAAAAUACCAGAGGACACUAGAAAAGUGCUCUCUGGUAAAGGAUAUCGAAAUGCUGCCAUUUGGAGAUCUCACUGAAAUAGGAGAAAGAGGUGUCAAUCUCAGUGGUGGUCAGAAGCAGCGCAUUCAACUUGCCCGUGCACUCUAUCAAGAUGCUGACAUAUACCUCUUGGAUGAUCCUUUUAGUGCUGUUGAUGCCCACACAGCUACCAGUCUAUUUAAUGUAAUGGCUUCUACAUUAAAUACCUUAUGUCAAUGAUAUAUAUUUCCCUGUUUGAUCUGAAAGUUUAGUGCUGUUUUUUUUUCUCUUCUCGAAGGAAUAUGUUAUGGGUGCUCUGGCAGAGAAAACAGUUCUUCUGGUCACUCACCAAGUCGAUUUCCUUCCAGUUUUUGACUCAAUUUUGGUUAGUCUUUGAAUUAUCUGCCAUACAACUUCCGUAGUUUAUUGUGUUAUGCAUUCAUCACUGUCAUGUCUCUUUGCUAAACAUUAUUUAUACUCUGUUUACCUGUGGCAGUUGAUGUCGGAUGGGGAAGUUCGUAGUGCUGCUCCUUACAACGAGCUAUUGGCUUCUAGCAAAGCAUUUGAAGACCUUGUUAGUGCACACAAGGACACGGUCGGUCCCGGAAGACUCGAAGGUGUUGGUUCGCAGAGACAAAGCAAGACAUCUGCAAGAGAGAUCAACAGUAGCAAGAAACAAGAAAUGGUGAAACCAUCAGGACGAGAUCAACUGAUAAAGAAGGAGGAGAAAGAAAGUGGUGAUACGGGUCUUAAGCCUUACAAACAGUAUCUGGGCCAGAACAAGGGGUACCUGUAUGCCUCGAUAUCAGCUCUUUCUCAUUUGAUCUUUGUAGCUGGCCAGAUCUCGCAGAAUUCAUGGAUGGCUGCCAAGGUUCAAGAUCCUCAAGUCAGCAUGUUUCUACUAAUCGUGGUGUACUUGUCAAUUGGGUUCAGCACCGUCCUCUUCUUGCUAAGUAGAUCCAUUUUUGUAGUGGUUCUCGGUAUCCAGUCUUCCAAGUCAUUGUUCUUCGAGCUCAUGAACUCGCUGUUCCGUGCUCCAAUGUCAUUUUUCGACUCCACGCCCAUUGGAAGGAUUCUAAGUCGGGUAAGCAUGUCCGAAUCAAACUCAACUUCCUUUCUGUAGUAAUAUGGAGCCUUUAAUUAUGAAGAAAAUUCACACGUUUAUCGAGCUAAUAUUUCUCUCUCAGGUUUCAUCCGACUUGAGUCUGGUUGAUCUCGAUGUUCCAUUUAGCUUCAUCUUCAGCGUCAGUGCUACACUGAACGCAUACAGCAAUCUUGCAGUACUCGCUUUUGUGACAUGGCCAGUUUUAUUUGUUUCCAUACCAAUGGUCUACCUCACCAUUCGAUUGCAGGUGAUCUCCACAACUGUGUUUUCUGAUUCUUGGAUGUUAACUGCUAUCUUGACCGAGUAACCGAUGCUUGUGUUGUAUGCUGGAUCUGCAGAGGUACUACUUGGUUUCUGCUAAGGAGUUGAUGCGCAUUAAUGGAACCACAAAGUCUCUGGUGGCGAAUCAUCUGGCUGAGUCCAUAUCUGGAGCAACAACAAUAAGGGCUUUUGAGGAGGAAGAUCGAUUCUUUUCCAAAAGUUUGGAGCUCAUCGACAAAAAUGCGAGUCCCUUCUUCCAUAAUUUUGCUGCCAGUGAGUGGUUGAUUCAACGAUUAGAGACUAUGAGUGCUGCCAUCGUUUCUUCAUCGGCACUCAUCAUGGCUUUGCUUCCUCCAGGAACUUUUAGCUCCGGUAAGCAUUCAAAUACAAAUCGUCCUUCACUGCUUCGUCGUGCAUUGCUAUAUGUGGUGAAAUCAUGAUUUAUAUAUUCCUGAUCAGCAAAUACAAGAAUUUAGUAGAUCAAUUUCUUUUAACAAUAAUGGAAAUUGUUACAUCUGAUCAAGUGAAAAUUAAGUUAACUUCAUCAAUUUCCCUAUGGAUUCCCUCUGAAACAUUCAUCUUUAACACUGUUCAAUCCUGUGUGACCAAGCAAUACAGUUGUCUUUGUGGACUGUUUAGCUCUUUGUUCUUAGAGGGAUCAGACUUAGAACUAUGAAAAACACACAUGAUGAAACUAACAAUUUGCAUGUAAGCAUAUGUACAUCUGUGCGAAAUAUCGAUUCUUCGUUUUAGAGAGUAGAUAGAUAGAUGUAAGUGGACCCAAAUGAACUGUUGUUUAAUUCCUCAAUUCUGGCACAGGUUUUGUUGGAAUGGCACUGUCUUAUGGUCUUUCUUUGAACAUGUCGCUGGUCUUCUCUAUCCAAAACCAGUGCACUCUAGCAAAUCACAUCAUAUCAGUAGAAAGGCUGAAUCAAUACAUGCAUGUCAGCAGUGAGGCCCCAGAAAUCGUUCGAGGCAAUCGGCCGCCAUCCGAUUGGCCCGCUAUUGGUAGAGUAGAACUUCGUGAUUUGAAGGUAAACUUCAACAAAGCACACUUUUUUCUCGGAAUAUUUACUUCGAUUCUAAUUUUGAAUGGAGUAAGAUUAAUGUUCCCUUAAAUCUCCACAAACAGAUCAGAUACAGGCCUGAGGCACCCCUUGUACUCCGCGGAAUCAGCUGUACGUUCGAAGGGGGCAACAAGAUUGGGAUAGUUGGAAGGACGGGAAGUGGUAAGACAACUCUGAUAGGUGCAUUGUUUCGUCUCGUUGAGCCCGCAGGAGGAAGAAUCACCAUUGACGCUCUUGAUAUCGCCACGAUUGGGCUACAUGAUCUGAGGUCACGUCUCGGAAUCAUCCCUCAGGAUCCAACCCUCUUUCAUGGUUCUGUCAGAUACAAUUUGGAUCCUUUGGGACAGUAUACGGAUCAGCAGAUCUGGGAGGUAUAUAUAUAGUGGUUUUCGAUCUAUACUAUCAUAUCUAAAAUAUUAAUUUCUCAGCGAGAACCAAAAAUUUAUUCUGGUUAUGAGAAAACAUUGUCGAUUGAGUCCGUCUUCUUUACAAUCCUAAAGGUUCUCGACAAGUGCCAGCUACAGGAAGCUGUUCAAGAGAAACACAAGGGGUUGGAUUCACUAGGCAAGACACAGCAACACUAUGUGAUGUCUCUUUCUUUGUGUAAUAGAACCGUGAUACUAACUAAUUUUGCUUGAGACCUACUUGCACUGCAGUGGUUGAAGAUGGAUCGAAUUGGAGCAUGGGGCAAAGACAAUUGUUUUGCCUGGGACGUGCACUUCUAAGGAGGAGUCGCAUACUAGUGCUCGAUGAAGCCACGGCAUCCAUCGACAAUGCCACCGAUGCCAUUCUUCAGAAGACCAUAAGAACCGAGUUUGCAGAUUGCACAGUCAUCACGGUUGCUCAUCGCAUCCCAACUGUGAUGGACUGCAACAUGGUGCUUGCUAUCAGUGAUGGUGAGUCCUUUCUGCAUUUGCUCAUCCAACCCCAACUGUUGUUAUCACGUAGAACAACAGCGUAGAGAUGGCAGAAGAGCAGCUUAAACGAGUGUUGAUAAACACCUGUUUCUUCUGUUGGUUCAGGAAAAUUGGAGGAGUAUGAUGAACCCAUGAAACUGAUGGAAAGAGAGGGAUCGCUCUUCGGGUCGCUCGUCAAGGAGUACUGGUCACAUGCUGCAAAUGCAACCAUCCAAUUCACGGACUCGCACUGAAGAAUCCGAAUCCCUUCGUGACUCUCAGCUUCCUCCACUGGAUAUAGCUAAAAGAGACGUGCAAAUUUAUAUCGAGAUGUAACAUCUUGUCUCGUUGGUUUGACUGCUUUGGGAACAUCAAGAGUCGUAAACGUGAAACCCCAUGGUGUCACAAAGUUGUUAAUGCAUGUAAAUGAUGGUCGAUUUCAGGGCAACUUUGUGAUCUUUAGUGCUCGUUAACAAUUGUUGUAUCAGAUAUGAUCAUCAAUGUCAAACAACCAAUCAAUAUAUACGGUCCAAUCUGUCAUUAAACCAGGGUGUUUCUACUUUGAUCAUUUUUCUUGAUCUCAUCAUUAGUCUUUUUAGGAUUAUAUCUAUCUAUCUAUCUAUCUAUCUAUCUAUCUAUCUAUCGUGACCGGAAGCGAUUUUGAUAGUUCAUGCAUAUCCAAGUUGUAUAUGUGUCCUAAUGAUGCAAGUGAUGGAACAUCCAAAUGUUGUGAAUAAUUUUUAUAAUAAUCUAUAGAAUUGUGUUUUUUUUUAGUAUGAUUUUGCUCUUGGUCCAACUCUUCAUCUGAACCUUUCAAGUUUCAACAUUCUCAGCAUAUUGUCCCUUAGUUAAGGAAGUUAUGAUAGUAGAUAAGAUAUUUAGGUAAAUUUUGAUGUCAAAUAAUUUAUGUUCAAGACUCAAACCUUUUACUAAGACUACACAAAAAUUUGUCUAUUUAUCUAUCAGUCAAAAAACACUUUUAAGGUUGAUCGCUUCUGUUAUAUAUGGUGGGAACCGACUCUAAUAAAUAGAUGCUUAAUAUGAAGAGAAAAAUGAUGGGCAGAUAAUAAAUAGAAAAAAGAGAAAUGGAGAGAGAAAGAAGGUGAGAAAAACUUGAUUUGUAAAAGUAUUAUUUAAAAAAUAAAUAAAAAAGUUAGAGUUUAUCGCGUAUGAAGAUCAUCAAGGACGAUAAUUUGGACAUCCUUUCUAUUAACUUAGGUUGCUUAGAUAUUGAUACAUGAGUCCUUAUUGUAAGUUGGCUAAGGAGAGGAGGCAAAUCUAUAAUGUCCUAAUCAGAUCUACUUUGGUACCAAAGGUUGGUACUUAAAUUAGGUUAGUGGGUUAAAAAAAAUUGAUGAGGAAACCGAUAGAAAGGAUAAAGAGACGAUAAGAAGUUAAACUAAUACUUUUAGUAGGCAAUAAAAAAAUCAACCAUAAGCUUAAGCUCUCAUAAUAUUUCAUACUUAUUGAUGAACUAGUCAAAGUAAGAGUCAAAGCUUAAAUGAUUACCGUUGGCUACUAUUGGUGAACUGAUGCGCCGUGGCUGAUGAGUCGGCACGGCUUGGUCCACGAGUCGAUGUCGGGAGUUCCCGAUCGAUUCGGAGAGACACCUUGGCUGAUUACGUCCGCAAGUCGAGAUGCCGACGUCGUCUAAGGGGAAGCACCUCUCGAUUGGGACACUAGCAUUGUCUUCGGGGAGGGGUCUCUCGGUCAGGACACUAGCAUCGUCUAUGGAAAAGGCGUCUCUCGGUUGGGGUAGUCGCACUUCCGGGGCGACAGCCCCUCGAUGACUAAGUUAGUGGUUGGUUUUCUCUUUUUUUCUCCCUCUGGUCGGAUGCCGGUUAGGGGCUUUUAUAUUACUAUAUGAGGAUCAGCUGUAUGGGGGUUUGGCACGGCAAUCGUUCCCCGAGUGGCGAGGUGGUACCUUCGUGCAGUCGUCGUCCCGGAAUGCACGGAACGACUCCAUGCGAUGCCAUCCCGAGCUUUUUGGGAUGGGAUGUACCGAGAAGCGUCUUAGUACGGAUCAUAUCUUGGCGCGUACAAAUACUCCUCCUGAUUCGACAAGGGCGUGAUGCGAUAUUGGUGGUGACAUGAUUGAGGCCCAAAAUAUGCCUUAUCAGCUACCAUUUGCGAGAACGUUUUCUACCUAUCUUGAUAUCAUAAAUGAUUACUACGGGCUCAUUAAAUUUGCGGAUUUGGCUGCUGUUGAAGAUCUAUGCUCGUAGAUGAUGCCAUAUUCUACGAACGCAUAUACACCAAUAAUAAGCAUGUGUCGCACAACAGGGGAAAUGAGAAGGUACAGGUCACUCGAGAAUUUUGGACGUACAAGAAACAAUAAUUUAUCCAAGAAGCAAGAAGACUGUGACAGAGUUCACAACCCAUGGCUGCCCUUGCAGGAACAGUCCCCAAAUCUGUACUCUAUCCUCAAAUCUUUUGUUUUUCUGCUCUACUGAGACACCGAGAUCCUUCUCAUGGUUAGAUGCUUGGAUGGCCUUCUGUGGUGAUUCUGCUUGUGCUGAUCAAGAUGGCGGUUCUCGUGGAUUUGGCGAACUAUUCUACUCUUCUUCAUGCAUGAACCACAUGUUCGUCAGUUUUGUCGAUGCGAUCCUCAUCAUCGCGUUCCUGCUCAACUUUGCACGCAAUGUUUCAAGCAGAUCAGUCGAUGCUCGACCGUUCUUCGGUUUGUCUUCUUCGUUACGAAUAACCGCUGCUGUGUUCAACUCUUUGCUGGGGUUGGUCUAUUUAGGCCAUGGACUGUGGAUGCUGGUUGGCAAUCUAAGGACAGGCAUGGGUGGUGUGCACCCUCCACUUCAGUGGCUACUUGUUUUGUCGCAGGGCUUUUGUUCGGUGCUCGUCGUUUUGAUUGCUUUGUGAACAUGAAGAGUUACUAAAUGAGAAACCUCAUGUCUUCACAAGGAUGAUCUUAAUACGCGUAAAUGAUGGUCGAUUUCGAGGCUGCUAAAUGAGAAACCUCAUGGCUUCACAUGUCUUCAGUGCUCGGUACCAAUUGUAUCCGAGUGUUUCACUUUCCUAAUCAUUAAUAGUCGGAUUCUGUCGCGAUAUCUCUGUAUCUCCUUAUGCAGAAAGAAAAAUGAGUUGUUUACACAGGUAAUUUGGCCACCAAAUAGAUCCCAUCCUCCCUGAACAGAAACUUAAUGCUUUGUUGCUAAUUGGUUUUAUGAUCUCUCUCUAAUAUGUUUCCUUGCUUUUUUUGACCAAUCAAUUGAAACAAAUCUUUAUCAUACAUAUUUCUGCAGCCUUUAUCUAUUCCAUAGAUUCAUUUCCUUUUAGAUCAGAUGUUUCAAGUAAUCAGAGCGAGCAGAGAAAGGGAUUCCAACUCUCCUCACUUUGAUCCACUCAUCCAUCUCUCCCAAUUUAAAUAAUAUUAAAAUUUUAACUAUUUCAAUGAACCUAAUCAGUGGGUCCCUGCAGCUGGUGAAUUGCGAAUCGAUCACACUCGUUCUGAAUUAGGGUGUUUCUUUCAAAGCAAAUGCAGCUUCUCUUUAUCAUGCCAAAAGGUUGAUCACACUCUUUUAAGUAUGCUACAAAUUACGUAUUGAUAUGCUUCGAUCACGGAAAUCCACUGAAAGCUAUAACAUGAAACACACCAUUUUACAACAGUCAUGUCGACAAGGAAGGCAAGAAUCAAAUAUACCCUUUUAAUGGGUUUUUACUCAGAUAAAUUCUCAAGUUUACAGAUUGUUAAGCAUAGCAGGAGCUAAAGUUUUGAAAUUCAUAGUUAUCAUAAAAGAGAUUUCAAACCAUCCUCUUCAAACAAAAUUACUAUGAACAAUAUAAUGCAUGAUUAUGUUGUGGUUUAAAAAGAAAACAAGUCGGUGGUAAAAGGUACAAAAAAACUUUCUAGCAUUACUAUGAACAAUCAAGAUAUUCAUUACAUAGGCCGUAACUAGCGCACAUGAACAUCUGAGUGAAAUACAAAAUUUAUAGAGGAAUGGAUGGUUUAGUGAGAGACAAACCAGUCUGCAUCCUUCACUCUCCAAAGUACCUGCGUAUCGGCAUCACUUGCUUCUUUUCAUUGUCUGAUGCUUUCAGACGAGCUUGCUGUCCCUCUAACCUUGCUUCAAGCAAUCUCGCCUUCAAUGUAUUCUCUUUUACACCUUCUGCUAAUUUUGAUGAGGAUCGAGAUAUAUCAACAUCUGGAGACUUGUGUUGCUCAAUACAAUUUAGAUUUGAACUUGUGUUUCGGAAAUGUCCUGAAGCAAUGCCCUCACUUGCUACAAGAAAAUGAUCCUUCGACGAGGAAUGACUAUGGUGCUCGUCUCCAUGAGAUAUAUUAUGAUCGACUUUACAACACUCGGAAUUUUCUGCAACAUUGUUCACAGAAUUAGCAAUCAGGUGGUCUAGACGACGCCCAUUAUCCCACUUCAUUUUCAUGUCCUGUGAAACUUCAAGCGCAUGGAAGUGACUAAAAACUUGAGGUUUAUUAAUUCUGAUAUGAUCAGCUACUCUUCCUUCAGAUUCAGGAUUGCUGUCCGGAUGCUUUCCUUGUGUUCUGUUUGACAGCUGCAUUUGGCUUCCACAUGACUUAGUUUCAUCCUUUUCUUCCCUGCACUUCAAAUGCAAGCUAGAUGAAAUCUGAUUCUUGCUCUUUUCAGAAGAUCCCCUCUCUUCGACUGAGAAAGUAGACCUUUUGGUUCUGGAAGAAUCAAACUUUUCUACAACAUUAUGACCAUUCCGCUGUUGCUGGUCAAUGCUGACAGUGUUACUUGCACCCAUAUUUAGUUCAAAGCAGUGCAAAUCACUUGCAACAGAAUCAUCAUCAUCAUCAGCAUCUUGCGGUGCACUAGCAGCACCAUUUAAGUGGACAGACUCAAGUGACUGCCGCCGCAAAUUGAUCUCUCUCUUUUCAUGGUUCUCAUACAGAUAACCAUUAUUAGAGACAGAUGACCUACUAGCUUGAAUGAAGGCUUCAAUUUCACUUCGUAAUCUAUCUGCAACCAUGGUUUUAUUAGCAAUAUCUCCUCGAGCUUCAGCGAUAUUCAUCUGCUCUCUCUCAUCCAGCCAUGCCUCUGAAAUAUGAAGUACCAACCGAUCAACUUUGUGAUCGCAAACUUUUACAGACCUUUGCUUCAACUGCCUCACUUCAUGUUCAUAAUCCCUGAUUCCCUUAGCAAACUCAUCGCAGAGAUCCUCCAGAAGGCCAUUUGUUUUUCUCACAUUUUCUAGAUCUUUUGCAGCCUUCAUAAAUGCUGCUUUUGCUUCAGACAAUUCUUUACCUAGUUUUCUAUGCAGACUUUCAGAGCGUUUUCUUAGCCGUCUCUCAUCUUCAAGCUCAUCCCUUAUUGACUGCACUACAGCUUUGAUCCGCUGUUGCUCUUUCUCCUUCCUAAUUAUUUUAUCCUCAGUAACUUGCUUCAUUAAAUGAUCCAUUUCACCACGAUAUGCAUGCUGCUCUUGCAUCAGCUCCUGAAUUCGUGCUCUUGCAUGUUCCAACUCCCCCUUCAGUGCUUUCACCAAUGACGCAUUGGACUCAUUGUGUUCUUCAAGGCUCCAAAUGUGAUUCAAUACUUUCAAGAGUUCUGUUGAUGUUCUCAAACCAUAUCCUGCAUCUCCAAACUUAUCCUUGAGAUCAGUAGCACUGCUAUGAGUGAUGGCUAGGUUAAAUGGAGCAAUCUGCCAGUGACAUGACCAAAGAACAAGAAAGUUAAUAGUAGUACAACAACAAUGAAACCGUACUCUCCCAACUAAGAACAUUGACUAAACUGCCAGAACAAAGAUUCUUAUUGGAAUAAAGAACAUUUAGUAAUGCAUAUACAUUUAAAAGCUGACAGAUCAAUGUUUGUAUUAAGAAUUCCAUUGUGUACAAACUAUGGCUUGCCUCAUUCACCAAGAUGAGUCCUUUAACUAUUCAAUUAACCGAAGAUAGUUUCAAGCAAUGAAAUCUCGCGAAAAAAAGGCCCCAUGGAGUUAAGCAAACAAGCUAUAAAGCCAAAACAAACAUUACCUUAUAUGAACUCGUAUAACUUGCAGGAGAAACAGGUUGCAAAUUAUGACUGUUCCCUUCAUGCAAAUGCUGAUGCUUGAUCGAUGAAGCUUCAACAUGCCUCCUCAAACUGCCUACACUCUGAGGCUGGCAUGAGAAAUCAGACAAACUCACACAAACUGAAGAUGUCUCAACAUGAAUAACAAGUCACUUCAGAUAAAAUGUGCAAAGUCUAAAUGAGCUUGAAAAAGUAAAAAAUAUAUAACCAACUGACAAAUAGUUGUCAUCUCGAUGAUGAUGAUAGAUUUUGGAGUAAAGGUUCCAUGACAAAUUGCAAAAUAAAACUUGAGAACAUGCACUCACAAAUUAUGUGAAACACAAAAAAAGGUAAAGUACAACAUAAGAUGCCAGUGCUUUAGAAACAAACACAUCUUUUGGAAAAAAAAAACACAUGAAAUAUUUGAGCGAGCAUCCCACCAGUAUAUGGAUAGCAUAUAUACCUGCUGUCCAUAGGUCCCAAGCACUUCGCCAUAAAAAAUUAGUUGGGAAGUUAUGCAUAACAUCUGGAGAUGCCUAUAUAAGAGGUGAUAAAGGAGAAAACCAGUACUUUUUAGGACAUCAGGUACAUGGUUUGACAUGUCAAAAAAUAAAAUUUGCCAAAUAAAUUACAGCUUAUUUAGAUUAAUGCAACUUACCAUUUUGGUUUUGUUAAAACUUGGCAUCCAUCCAAGGUAAGUCCUGACUAUACAACUCUUCAAGAUUUAUAGGUUUCCCCAUGGUUCUUAAGAAAAGGUAUUAUUAUGAACAAUGCAACACAUAUUCUCGGAUCCUUCCUCGUAUCAAAUUAGAUACAUAUCCAUGUGCUGAGUACAAAUCCAUAGUAUAGCCACUCACCAAACUCUUGCAUAUAAAUUUGAAAUAUCAACAAAUAUGAUGAUACCAGAAUUAGGAACUUGUUUUAGUUUCCAAGAUGGCAAGAUGUAGUUUUCUAAUAUUUUAUAUUCGUCCUAGUAAGCAUCACAGAUAAUUUAUUAAAGUUUCUCUUUGACUGUUGCAUUGACCCUCCCCAAACUCCACAUUUCCAAGAGCCUCAUUCACAUGUGUGAACAAACUCCUCUUUAUCUCCUUGUCACAAACACCAUGCAACACUGCUUAAGAAGGAACUGCAGUAGCCAAACUUUUGUUUAAUCGAACUUAUUUCUUCCUUUUCGCUAUUAUGGUGAUUGCUAGUUUCUUGUUCAAAAGAAUUUAUAAAACCUAUGACAACAUGGUAAGAUGAAAUUUUUAUGGCACAAGAAAUUUCUAGUAUUUGCCGGUUAUCAUUUCAUUUUACGACGUUUUCUAGUAAUCUUUACUGGUAUCUUUUAAUUUUACAACCAUCACCUUAGCAUCAAUACACACAGUCCAAAACAUGCAAACAAAAAAACCCAUGGUAUUUUGACUUCUAGCAAAAUAAAUGUUGACCUAAUUACCCUGACCAUCAUAAGAAAUUUAUGAUAUAACUUGGUAAAUUAUAUCAAGUUAAUUACCAAAGCUUUGGUAAUUUUGACUUCUAGCUUUGGUAAAUUCAAAAGCUGCUCGUGUCAUCCAAAAUUGAACCUAAUUACCCUGACCAUCAUAUAACUUGAAAAAGUCACCACUACAUAAUUUUUUCCUGACAUAGCAGAUUCAUUAUUGCUUUAACAAGGAGACUAUAAGUCCCAUGAUUGUACUGUAGGCCUUUCAACUUGCAUGAGGAAAAUAUAUAAUCUUUUCACUAUUAUUUGACAGGACCAGAAGAGACGCAAAUGCGGAAUUGCAUGAAAGAUUACUUUGUUCUGCUUAAGCUCGUGUUUCUUGUAGGGAUCUUUCUUUAGACAACAAGCGGAUGUGGUUUAUAGCCUGCCCAUGGACGAUGGUACGGAUUCAUUGCCAUCUAUAUAGUUUUUUACACAGCAACUAAAGUUUCAUAUAAAUGAAUCAUGAAUUCCUUCUCACAUCCUAUUGUUUAGCCUAUAAAUAACAGAAACUAACAGAUGACUAAUCCUUAUCUUUCCUUGUCUUCUAGCUGCAACAUGUUGCCUAUACACAUCCAAUUUGUACCUCUACUUGGACGUAGAUUAUAAUCACCAAUCAAUAUUCAUCAGUAUCAACAAAAGAGUUUCACUUCUUAUUACGAAUUAAAAGCAUGUCUAGGAGAAGCCCAUUAGUUCCAACCCAUACAUUUUCAUCUGUCACGAGAUAAUACUCUUUAGCAUACAUUACCGGAAUACCAGAUUGUCAUUAGCCAAAAAUCCAAGUAAUAAACUUUGACAAAAGCUGCAAGAGGACAACCACAGGAAAAUCUACGACAAUCAAGCCAACAAUGGAAAACCUCAUUCCAAGAAGGCAAGUUGAUCAAGAAAUUGCACCUUGCACAAGAAAAAUCAUACGUCAUAUGGAAUGAUAAAAGGUAGAGAUUGGAUCCCGGCGAAACGAAAUAGUUACAAGAAUAGAAAGCGAAGAAAUCCGCCAGCCAAUACCUAAAGAACUCAAAGCUUACCAAAUCUUCGUGCCCGAGUAUAUGCGACGGACCGAUACCGUCCUCGAGCGCCUUCCCAUCCCGACGGUGGCGGCGGAUCCUGGCGCCUCGCCGGCCGGCCGCGGACAUCGUCAGGACGUCCUGAAUCUCCCAGAGGCCAGCGCCAAGCUUGCGAGCGGAGACCGACCGCCGGUGCGGCUGGGCCUUGUCGGGGUCGGACAGUCCGGGCUCCUCCAGCUUCCAGGACGGCACCGGAGUGCAAAGGCCGCCCCUCCUGUUCGCGGAGAUGGCUCUCCUCAACUUCACGCCCAAAGGCGCCUCUUUUCCAGCGCCAUCCCCUUCACCCUCAUCGAUUGCUGCUGCUGCUGCUUUGUCCCCUUCCAUCAAUCCCCCUUAAAUCUCUCUUCCACCCUUCCCUUUAAAAAAGAGUAGACCUUUUUCUUCGCCCCGAGGUGCCCUCCCCCAUGUUCCUCUUGCUCUCUUUUUGAGCUCCCCCUCUUCUUCCUAGUGGAACCUCCGACUGCAGUCACUGCUAAUUUCGGUGUAACAGCCUGUUCUCCACGGGGACUGUAAGAUUCGACCCUUUUCUUCGCUCUCUCGCUGUCACGGGAAGGGAAUACUAGGGCUUAGAUUCCGGAAUACGAGGUGCUGCUCCCUUGUAUUUACAAGCUAAUGUUUUUUACUCUCUUCACCGUACGUACAUUAAAACAAAAUAAUAAUAAUUUACAUAUUAAAAAUAAUUUAAUAUCAUCGAACCGAUGCCCAAUUUCACCGGUUCAAUUGGGGUUGUGGGUCGGGUCAACCGUAGAGAGACGUUUUACGUGUCAUGAUUACGCUUCGGCACGUUAGUUCUCAUGCUCGUGAAUUUUAAUGCAGCGUAGAAGCAAGCUACACCCUUUUCCUCUCGCGCUCUCUCUGUUAUUCCUCAUCGUGGUUCCCACAGAGUUGGGGGUGGUACAGACUUCAAGCGUCGACAUUUAACUUGACUCACCACCAACAAAUCGAGACACAACAUCAACCAGCGUUCAGUGAAGCAGGUUCCGUGUCGGCCGGGUUGCGAAUCGAAUCACAGCAACGACUCGAGGGUUGCGGACAACCGAAUCAGUAUCUGCUGGGUGGACAGGAAUGACUCGUCUCUUUCUUGGCAACAAACCCAUUGCCUGCGUCCCGAUCUGCUGGACUGGAACGAAGGUCCAGUGUCGCACGACAGCCCCCACAUAAUUAGCAGUCCAUACGAUAUGGAUGUCUAUGGAUCGAGCUUUUCAUGCGAUCAUGUCGAUCUGACCCGUUUAAACCAGGUUCCGAUUCGCUAUGACUCCGGCAGCCAAUGCGAUCAUUGUCACAAGAAGCAUAAGAAACAUACAAUUCCUGGUGGACAACAUAUUCACGUGUAAAAGCAUCCCAACACACAGGAUCUCUGCCGACAGCUUAAAAAGAGCAUCAGUUGAACACAAUUCCACGUUUCGAGUACAAGAAAUUUGUAUAUUAUUCAUACUAGUUGAUAAUCUUUCUAGCGCCAAUCUAAUAAGGGACCAUUUGAUCGAUCGAUCAUUGGUGCGGCCCAUAGGCUCACGAAGAAUUAUCCAUUUUAAACGAUGAGCGUACUCAUUUGAUUUUUACCUUUGGGAAUAUGUAAAUUCUAAAAGGCAAUUCUAAGGAUAAGGGAGAUCCGACGAACUUAUGAGCUCUUGAUUCAUAUACUUCUCAACCAAUAUUGGACUAAAUGACCUUAUCAUCAUUCUUCAUAAGUGAUAGAUCCUUAAGGUCACUCCGGAAGGAAAAAGUGAAUCUCUUAUAGGUCAUUAUGAGGCUCAUACAACAUAAUGCUGUUUUUCCAAAAUAUUUGACAUGAGUAUCAGUUUCUGGGGAAAAAAAAUUGUGAUCACAGUGAAAAUUAGCCAAAUAGCCUAUGGAAUUUGCUACCCAGAGAUUUGAUAUGCUUAAGCAUGCUCGGAAUUAAUGAAUGACUUUUGUUAUCCCAAAAUACAUAAAUAAAUUGUUGAGUGGUAAAAAAAAUGAUGCUAGUCAACUGCAAGCACUGCCAUUUCAACAGCAACAUUUACCUCCAGGUUUUGCCAAUCACAGUGUAGAACAACAAGAAAAGUGAUGAAUGGUACAGGUACCAAGAUUAAGCUCUCACUAGUAUGAUAUCUAAGAAAUGGUCCUCUCUCUAACAGGUGGAAACAUCUUCAAGACAAUUUUAGGGUAACCAUGAGCAGUUCCAAUAGAUUUAAUUCCAUUAUCUAUUGGUUGUAUACAGUAUCCAUUGGCCUAUAAGUUUGUCUUAAUGAUGACAGAAUAAAACCAAAAUGGUUUGUUUUGACACUAAUGUUGUUCUUAAGUUCCUAACUUAAGCCCUAAUCAAGGGACUUUAUUGAAUAAUUUGCAUGGUGUUCAGAAUACUGCAAAAAAAAAAAUUGUCAAACAAGAAUCCAAUCAGACAUGUUCUUGAUGUGGAUAAUACUAUAGAAUACAACAAGAGAUGAAUUUGAAACCUAUACACACAAAAAGAUCUGAGAAAUUAUCCUAUGCAAAAAAAGAAAAACAAAGUGGCUGUUUCAAGGUAUAAGCUCUCCAGGAAAAUAUUGCUUCAGCAUUUUCAUGGGCAGGAAUUAGGAAAUGCAGGGAAGAUGUGAAUUGGAGAACAACAGCCAAUCUGCACUCCUGGCAGAAAAUUAAACUACUCAAAUGGUAAAGUUCACACCACAUUACCACAGGCUAUGAUUUUACAAGGAUCAAGUUCAGGGAAACCAUAUUGGGCCCAAAGGCCAUCUCAAUAUGCAAAAGCUUAGAAGACAAACAAUAAAAGGAUAUUAGAAAGGGUGGAAAAAGAAGGACAUGUUUAUGUGGAGUAAACAGACAAGCUCCCAGAAACCUUGGUUUAACUGGCACUAUGACCAGGGACCAAGAAAGUAAUUCUUGAUUUGCCACUAUCAUGAUAACAUAAUGCAACCUGAUACUGUUGCAUGAUUCUUCCAACAAUGAAGGCUUUCUUUUGCAAUUUACAAGACUGUGGCUGUUAUUCUGAUUGCAGGGACAUGCAUGAUCACACACAUUUCCUUUUCAUUCUCUUAGGCACAUCUUGUACAACAAAUCCCACACUAAGGUCCCCAUUCUCCAAUAUUCAAUCUGGUUUCUNNNNNNNNNNNNNNNNNNNNUCUUGUAACUUGCAAAAGAAAGCCUUCAUUGUUGGAAGAAUCAUGCAACAGUAGUAGGUUGCAUUAUGUCAUCAUGAUAGUGGCAAAUCAAGAAUUACUUUCUUGGCACAUAUUUCUGAUUGCAGGGACAUGCAUGAUCACACACAUUUCCUUUUCAUUCUCUUAGGCACGUCUUAUACAACAAAUCCCACACUAAGGUCCCCAUUCUCCAAUACUCAAUCUGGUUUCCUUCCCUUGCCAUGCACUAAAGCUAAGAACAAAGGGUGCCCUGGGCACCUGUAAAUUCUUCCCUGUCUAAUAUCGAUCUAUCAAAGAGAAACAAGCCAAUAUCUAUUAAGAAACAGUAUGAGUAAUUGCUUGUCACAAUCAGUUUCAACUUGUAGUCUGCUAGCUGCAAAACCGAGCAAACCCAGGGAAGUUAGUUAACAGUCCUUCCAUCAGAAAGACGUUGAAGGAACAUUUGGUUUAAAGGAGUGCCAUAGCCAGGAAAAGAAGCCCCUGCAAUCUAUUCUGUGCUGUAUCUUUUCCAUCACUUAAAAGUAGAACAAUCACCAUGACUACAAGCAACUAGUUAUUGAACUCCCUCGCACCUUCUACCUAGAAGAAACAGCACAGUAAUUGGGUCAUGGCAAAUUUUUAUUGCUUUGUUCUGAACGGUGUCCUGUUGCAAGUGUCGACCUUGGAGACAGAGCGUACAUUUAUGAUUCAACAGGCAAUAAAUGGGAACAUCUAGCCAUCAAAAGCUACGAUUCUGCCUAAAGCCUGACGAGUACUGAGAAGAACAAUAAAUAAACUAUCGGGAGAACAAAGAAAAGAAGAAGAGAGAAUAAUUCAACAGCAGGUCAGAACCAAUGCCAAAAGCCAGGGUUCUUUUCAGCACUGAACUGCUCCUUCCCCCGAACAUUUGCCCGCAACAGCUGCACCACAGCUGUAAUUAUUUAAUGCCAGAGCCCUCGCCCAUCAAAUCAACCAAUCCAAAUUACGUCCCACUCAAAGAUGACGCCUUUCUGACGUUAAGAGGGCUCGAGGAGGCACGGACGCAGCACGGCCUAGGGUUUACGCACCCACGUAAAUCCCACGAGCAUGGUAAAAUCAGAGAGGAAAAGGCCAAUAUUUACCAGUACGCCAGGACUCGAUUUUGGAAAGGCGAGACCGACGUGAAAUCCAAGAAAUGAAUGAAAAAGCAGCGCGUCGAAGAUGGGAAAGGGAUGUGACGACGACGUACCGAUGACUACGGUGCGGCGACCUUACGAGAGGAGGACGGCCACCUAGAGGGGUCACUGGAAGGGUGGACGCGAGUCGAGAUCGACGUUCCGUCGUCGGCUGAGAACAAGGUGGAAUCGGUGGAGGGAUUCUGGGGCUACGCGACGGCCACGGGAGCCAAUGAGGCGAUCGACCCACUGGGUAUAAGAACACUCCGGGUUUCUCGGAUUUCUCACACAUCCAAUAGAGGAAGAUGAAGUAUUCCCACAUUACAUUAUUUAUUGCUCAAUAAUAUUAAAACAAAUAAGAAAAUAUUUGUUAGAAAAUUUUAAAAUAACUUAAAUGAUCUUAAAUUUUUUUUUGUAAAAAAUAAAUUUUAAUUUACUUAUCCCUUUAGAUAUUAACAUCAUUCAUCUAAAUAUAUCACAUUAAUCUAAAAAAUAAAAAUUAGCCACCACUAAUUAUAAUUAGUGUUACCUAAUUUAAAUAAAAAAAAGGUAUAAUAAAUUCACAUUAAUCUAAUGUCAAUUGAAAAGUCAGAGAAUCAAAACUUAAUUAUAAAAAAUAAAAAAAUAUAUAUAUAUUUGAUAUGAUGGUGAUGUACCAAAUUUACUUACCACUAUAGUAUGAUUUCUAUGAGUUCUAAAAUAAUAAAACUAUAAAAUGAAGACAAACUUUAUAACUAUAAUUGUUUGGAAUGGAACAUUAUACUAUGAUCAUUUAUUAUAAUAGGGAGCAACUGAAAUGAGUGGGGAUGUAAAGAUGCCACACAACCCAUGCACCAUUAAAUAAUCAAAACACCCCUUGAAGAAUCUAUGUACUACAAUACUUUUCCUCUUGAUAGGUUUCGUUUGUUGAUUGGAGGAAGCUUUUUCUUUUGUGUGUGUGUGGAUUUGAUGAAGCUUCUUACGUUGGCAUGCCCACCCGAGAUGAGUCUCAUAACAGUGCACCAUCUCACCUCUCACUUGUCCUGCUUCACAGGGAUGUUUUGGACCAUACAUGAAGCAGUGUCAAAAUGGACAGCCAAAGACAAAAUCCACUGACCCAUAAGAAGAAGAUACAUUGGAUGCAUCACAUGUGAUUCAUGAUUGGCCUUGACUCCUUGGGUACUUGUACAAGUAACGCCACCAACCACUUGGAAAGCCUUUUCCUUUCUUUUCUUUUAGGUUUGGAAUACUUGAGCUAGAUUGCUCUGCCAGUGCAGGGAGGCAGCUCCAUCACGGCUCAGAACUAGCAGUACAACCAUGCUUCUCUCCUUUUAAUGGCUGGCUGGUAAUGGCACAGUUGGGGUGUGAGUGAAGGUGGCAGGGCCAGCGCUCAGGUCUGAGCCACCACCUGACAUCCCCUGACCUGCACUGGGGAGAGCUGUGAAGAGGCCCCCAGCCACACAAUUCCACCACCACCAAGCAUGAUAAGGUGGUGGUCAUAAGCAUGGUUCUUCUUCACUCAGCUAUUCUCAUGCACCUCCUCCUCCUCCUCCUCCCAUCCGUUGUGCACAUGGUGAUCUGCAGCUUGUCUGUUCCUGCUCACAACAUCAAAGCUUUUGGGUUGGGCAAGAAAAGAAUCUGGUUUCUGAAGUGGAAAACUCCUGCUAUUUGCAUCAUUCAACAUAUUAAUCGACAUCCGAAAUAUUUCAAGCACAGACAAGGAUUGCAAUUCCACCAAGGCAGUUCAGCAUUAAUCAAGAGCAUUUACUUGGUUCUCCAUGAUGAUGCAUGUAGAAGAAGAAACAAACCAACGAGUUCUUAUCCUAUCUUCCUACAUGAUCGAGCAAAUUGUUGUCCUGCAUGCUUGUGUCAGCUUGAAUUACUAGUAGGCACCAUUAAAUCAUGGAUUAGAUAAGCUGAGGGAAAUGCUGAUGAUUACACAAGAAACAGCAGCAAUUCAAGGUUUUCAAAUUCAAAUCAAGUGAUAUGAACCAAAGAAAAGAGAAGAGAAAACAAGCAGAUUGCAGACUUAAUCUUGAAAUCUCUACUUUCCAAUUUGGUCAUGUUUUUCAUGUGAUUGGUUAGAAAAUUUUUUUUUUUGGUAGGGCUGACAGACCACCACAUUCAUUAUAUUUGGAUUUACUUUGAUCCACAGGGAGCUCUUCACUUGUCUGGUUGGUCUUCAGUAUUCCAGGAAACAUUCCAUGUUGAACAAGCUGUUCUUCAUGAAGACAAAACAUCUCCUUUAAAUGAGCUUAAGCUGCACUUCCAGCACAUGAUGUACCAGAUCAUAUCCUCGGUAUGCGUAGCCUGAUGCUCUUCCCCAAACGAUCUCGAAUGUUGUCAUCUCCAGCAGAAAUCAAUAGCAUUUUCAAGUUUUACACAAGAUUUGCAAUAGCAAAGUCAGUGAAGUACUACAAAGCCAGAAAAUAGAGCUAAACUGAAAGCUUGGGCUCAAUACCGAGAAGCCAAGCCAUGAGAUAGAAGACAGAAGACAAGCAAAUCUUUGUUGGAUCACUCUGUUCCAUGGAUAGAUCAUUAAAGUCCAAAAUAAACUAUACUGUACAAGCUGAACAAAACAAGGUUAACACUCUGUAGAAUCUCCAUGAUCAUUGCAAGAAUGUUCUUGUCCAUCAUACAAACAUUCCAUGUAAUUAUCCUAGACACGUGAAACAAAACUAUGGCAUGAUUGCUUCGAGUUGUAAACGGAAAGGCAAAGAAAGCAAUGAGCAGCAGAAAUCAGGAAGCGACCUCGAGCCUCGGCUCGAAGCUGAAGCCAGUGAAGAGCUGCAGGGGAAACCUCUUCGUCACGGGGCUUUUUGUCGACCACCUCCACAGCUUCUGGGUCGUGUCGAAGGUCAGCAGAGCAGGGGAUCCAAAGCUCUGUAUGUAGAUGAGUUCGUCGGCGCCGCUGCUCGCGAAGACGUCGUCGAAUUCGCCGAACCCCUGGAAGAACUUGUGCGGCAUUCGAGCCACCUCCCGCCAUUCCCUCCUCCUCUGAAGCUCCCAGAUGCCGAUGCCCUUGAUGAUGCCCGGUCGGUCCGGCUUCCCGAUACCGCCGACCAUGAUUAGCCUGUCUCUGAGGUUCAUCAGCCUGCCGCAGGUCAGAGAGCAUGGCACAGGGAUCGCCGUCCGCAUUAGGGACGUGCGGGCAGGCCGCGCCGAGAGGUCGUACAUCACCAGGCAAUGGCGCGGCUCGACGUUCCUGAGCACGCCGGUGGAGUAGAUCAAGUAAUACAGGACGCCAUUGCAGAUCACGCACUCGUCUCCGCCCCGCCAGCCCACCAAGACUUCGGCGAAGGGGGUGAGCCACGCUCUGGUCUUCGACUCGUAGACGUGGAUGGAGAAUUGCCACUGGUAAUAGUCCUGAGGCACCUGCUUGCACUUGGCGACGGCGACCGUGUAGCCGUGGGUUCUCCGGUCGACCGACAUGGCGAGCGCGCUGUAAUCGGGGGCCUUCCCCCCGGGGGCGUCGUGCAGCCUCUUCCAGUCCCGCGUGAUCGGGUUGCAGACGAAGACGCGGCUCCUGUUCUCGCCGUCCAUCAAGCAGACCAACCCGCAGGAGGAGGAGGUCGACCAGUUGCUCCUCUCGAUGCAGGGGAAGUCGAAGCCGUACCAUUUCCGGAGGCUCGGGUCGUAGGCGUAGCCGGCGACGGCGUCGUCGCUGCAGGUGAACAUGAAGUACCAUGGCUUCUGGGGCGACAUCUUGGUCCACGAGCACCUCCCGGAAUGCACAGCUUCGUACCACCGCCUGCAGACUGAGCUCGCUCUGACGAUGCUCGCGAUGGGCAAGAAGGACAAGACCUUCUCCAAGAGGUCAUCGGGCAGAACGGCGUCCAAUGAGAUCAACGCAUCUUCAUCUUGGUCAUCGCUGUCUUCGGAGGUCGGCUUAAGGCCCGCAACCUCACUCUGGAAGUAGGCGACAGGGUAAGACUCCUCCCAUGAUGUCUCACCCGCCAUGAGGAAGAUGAGACGGCACACACAACAAGAUCAAGAGGAUGGACCUGCACGAAUGAACCGAGGAAACCGGUGAAGAGAAUAAGAGAGCAGAAGAACCGAGGUUGAGAUCACAAGCACAUGGUAUCGACACCAAAACCAUAAAACGCAAUCAGGAGGAAGCCGAACGCCGGAAAAAGAUUUGCCGAUAGCAUGACAAGCGAAAGGUGGCGUGUAAGCGAAAACCACCAAACUCUGCUCGUCUCAGAGGACUGCGGCAAUUAUUCGAACAAGACAAACUGCAGCCGCAACGAGCCAAAGGCAUUCACAUUAUCAAAUCGUCGAACACCGGUAACACCUCCCCGGAUGUCCAAAAAUCAAACGAAAACAUCUCAAAGGCAAUCGAAAAAACCGAGAAAAAUGUGACCUUUUCUUGCUGUUCGUCUUGAUGAUUAGAAACGGAGCAAGAAAAGCACUUAAAAAUCCAGCCGUCUCUUAAUCUUUCAUUCUUUUCUGCUCUCUCCCCAACCCCCCCUAGAAUCAAGAUAAAGAGUACUUCACAAUCUGCUCUGCCAAACCUGGGCAAGGACAGAACACCAAUGAGCACCACGCUUCACAAGAGAUUAGGACGGAUGGAAGGAGACAAACAUACAAGGAACAGAUGAAACAGGAAGUGGCUGCAGAUGUAACAGCGAGGUGGCCGGCUGUGGUGGGCAGGAUGGUGGGAGGAAGAGGCGUGUAGGGGUGUCUGUAUCAAUGUCCUGUGGCUGUCACCAAACACACAACUAUAUAUAUAUAUACACACACCCACACCUAUUUUGGAUUGAAGCAUAAGCUUGUUUGGACGCAUUCAAGGAAAUGAUGGUUCCUUCACAUCUCAUGUGCUAAGAAUUCCUCCUUGCAACCUCCCACUGCUUGUUUUUAUCAUCUUUUUGGUAGAAAUGAUGUACAGAACAUGAAAGACCACAGGAUUUCCCCUUUUUUUUUUCCCUAUAAGCACAAAGAGUGAUGAGACAUGAGCCUCUUUUUUAUGCCACCAUCACCUACGUAUAUAGAGGGGAGAAGGAUGUCCGGUCCCAAUGUUGGAUUGGGUGCUCUUUUGCCUUCUUUUUCUUUCCAUGGUUGAGGCACCAUGGCCACCCUUUAUUUUACCUCAUGCCACAACAUUGCUGUGUUUGUUCUCAUUAGCUGGUUGUCUUUUGUGGCAUGGUCCAUGAAGGCAUAUGAUCAUGCUCUUUUCUUCAUGUUUUGGCAUGAGUUAUCCUCCUCUUUCCUCAGUGACUAAUAAUAAUUAUAAAUUUUUUUCCUUCUUCAUAUGCAUAUUAUGAAAUGCACAUAUGUGAGAUGUCAAUGAUUCCACUGCUUAUAUGAUGAUAAUAUACGGCUCUUCACACUGUACUCCCAGAAACAUAAUAUGAUGAGUUUGGAUGACUCCUUUUAAUUAUUAAUCUCAGUACAAUGCUACCUAAAUCAGCAAUUAUUGAUCGAGUAGGAGCUGCAGUUGGUGAUCCAAACAACUGUAGGCAGUCGAAAGCUAAGGUGACUCGAGUAGAAAGAAAGAAAGAAAGAAAGCAGUGGAUUUGGAUGUAUCAGUAUGAUUAGAUCUGUCACAUGUUGACAUAAAACCAUUGCUCAACCAUCCAAAUAAAUCACUCAUCAAGAGCAGAUGAUGGUUUAACAUGGAUAUCAGAGUCAGGAUAACCCCACCCUUGUGUGUCAUUUUUAGCACACUCCAUGUAUCAGUAGAAAAGAAAUCCACUUGGCUGGCUAACAGAGUUUUGCUGAAUGUUUGUUUAAACCUCCAUGGUUUCAUAGGCAAAUUGAAGUUGUCAUGUUCAUCGAUAUGCAAUUGUUGUUGUGCGUUUGCAUCACUACUGCCAUUGGAAUCACAUGAUGCUUGGCAAUUGGAGUGUACAACAGAGAUGACAACUCUGCUACCACUGAUUUGAUUUGGUGGUGGAUUAAACAUGCCUUUUAAGUGGCUCUGACCUCCAAAAAGACAUGGACACCGUACGACAGAGAACUUGUGAGUAGUGGAAACACCACUAAGAUUGCACCUGUUGCCUCUCGACUCAUUCUUCAUGUCUCACAGUUAACAAAGUCAUAGGUAUGAGAUAGACUGCAACAUCCAAGUGCACAUCAGACUGCAAUAUCAUUGCAGCAAUGACUUCCAGCAGUCGCAGCAAAAUGUGUUUGUCCAAGCACUUGAAAAGCCAUAAAGAAAGCUAUUUAUAGUGGCACACACUGCACAUGAACAUAAGCAGCUUGUCUCUCAUCCCAAGUAGAGUGGGUGGUUGCAACCAGAAAAGAAUGGCAAGCUCCCCCCCAACAUGGACAAAGUGUACAUCAGAAUGAAGGUCUAAUUGUAGGGGGGAACGAAGGAGAAUCAUAGCAAGGUUGACAAGGUGAGUAAUGUCAAACCCCAUGACUCGAGUGGGAGACCUCAGUCCUCAUCAGUCUCGAUCACGAUCACAAUCACAAUCACAAUCGCAGAUAUGGAUUUGUUUCUGAAAGCGCCUGUGACGAUGUGGCGACCAAAAAGCAAGAACAAACUGAGGUCCAGAAGAACUCGAUGUUGCAUUUCCAUAUCUGCUUCCACUGCAACACCAAAAAGCUUGAGUUGUCAACCAAUUGAAGCCAACACAUCCAUCACCUGCUUCGGAAGAUGGCCAUCCGAUUCUUCUAAUGGGAUUUCGAACUUGGCGUUGGUGGGCACACAAAGCGUCGAUGAUGGAAGACUUCGAGGGGAUUCAGAUCGAGGAAAAUGAAUGGCGGCAUGGGAUGUACUCUUUGAGUUUGCUUCCCCAUGCCACUUUCCGUGGAAGGACGACUUAAAGAAACCUUGGUUACUCCUUCAGAGAAAGGAAACGACGUCGAAUUGCGUGUUGGACUAAGCAUCGGUUCCACUCCGAAAGGGGAAAGGAAGAGCAGGGUUUUCCGUGUGGUGUUCCAUGGAUUGCGAUUCGGCGAGCGAGACAGGGCAUUGUGCGUGGAGGGAGCAAUCGGCAUAGCCGAUGGCAUCUCCCGUCUCGAGCUCUUCUCCCACUUGGUUGCAUAGUUGCUCAGUGGGAGUCAUCUCUUUUAUGGCAAGCGUGUCAUGCUCUUGUGGAUUUGAACGCCGCUCAGAAUAUUAUCCACCGCAAAUCAUGCAAUGAUGUGAAGCAAAUAUCAUCUCCUUCCGUCUCGACACAAACAAUGAUAAGCAUAUGAAUAAUUAAGCUACUCGGGUGGCCGAGCAGUUCAUGGCUUCUACAAAGAUGGGAAGAGGCCAUUCUAAGCUUUUGGAUCUUCGUGUUCUCUUAGGAUCUAUGGUGAAUGCCCACUGAGAACUCAGAAUCAGGUAAUCUUACGACUAGAGCACCUAAAUUUAAUGAGAAUAUAAGUGAGAAAGAUCAUAACAAAAGAAUCCAGAAGAGAAUUCAUGGACAUCAACAGAGAAACAGAGAGGAAAAGAGUAUGUGAUAUGUAGAGCACAACACUUCAUACGGAUUCUCUAUUUAUUUGUUAUUAACAUUGAUACAUAAAAAAGCAUAAUAGAGCCCAAUGUGUUUUACACAAACAUUGUUUUUACUUUCUUAUCAUACACACACAAAAGAGAGUGUGAGGAUGAAUUUAGAAUCUCACCUCCACGGUAGCACGUCUCACGAUGCAACCUUACGGGGAGAGGGCCUUCUUGGUUUGGAGCUCUUCACCUUGCACCUUCUCUUUUGUGACAGUUUUCUCUCCAAGUCCUUAACUCUGCCAUUAAGAUCUGCAAUGACUCCCAGCUGUGCUUGCCCUGCCUUCAGCAGUGUCUCUAGCAUUUCUCUUAGCUUCUCAUUCUCUUCCACUAGUUUUUUCUCCUCCUUGCUUAGAUUUCCAUCGGCUGCAUCAUUGGCAUUUGCUUCAAAUGGUUCAUCUGCAGAGACACGUUCAUCUUUGUUGAUAUUCACAGCAUCGGGCAGUUGCCGUGGACUCAUACUGACGGGCUCAAGAGCUUCUACCAAUGAAUGGACUUUGUCGAUCUUUGGUUCGGAUGUUUCAACUGAAGAGAAGCAUUCAUCUUUGAUGAUAUUUGUGCCAUCAGGCAACAGCAUUGGAUUCACACCAUUUUCCUUGCCAACCUCAAAAUCUCCUGGUGAAUGACACUGGUUGUAAGUUGCAUCUGGAAGGUGGGUCACUAUGCUAUCUGCAUCUUCUGCCCUUUUUUCUAUGUUCCCCACCGUGCAUCCGGCAUUUCCAUUGUCGAUGGCACAAGUGCCAAGGAAGGGUUGUUCAGAGCAUGGAACUUCUGUGACUACAUGAACAACAUCCGUGUUUCCAACCAUCUUCUCAACAAGGUCACAACUUUUUUGGUCGGGCACUUGGAGAUCCUCUCUCAUGGUAUCAACUUCAUCACCUGGCAAAAUAGUUCCCUUGACAUCAAAAUCACCUUCCUUGACCCCAGCAGUGGCUUCUACAAGCUGCACCUGUUCAGGGUUAAUUGCCUUUAAAGAAUGGUUUGAUUCUUCAGCUGCCAGUUCGAUAUCUUCUCCCUUCACCGAUGGCACAGAUGGUUUCUCCAAUUUUACAUCACCCGUCUCGUCAUUUCCAGCUUCAGCAUCGGGUAGCUCAUCUCUCACAUGCUCAACAAGGGAGUUAAUUCCUUGACAUUCAACAUGCUCGUCUGUCUCGAGCUUCCACACCUCAUCUACAGAGGCAGAAGGUGCCUCAACUUGGGGAAUAGAUGCUAAAGUCUCUGUUCCACCUUCCAAUCCAGAGGAUUGUUUUUUCUCAGUAACGCCUUCCGAUACACAGGAUUGUUCUUCCUCUGUAACAUGCGAUUCCACUGCCUCCCUCAGGGCAGAACUAAGUUGUUCUUCCAGAGGAGCUAUAUCUUGAUGUUCUUCAGUAGUAGAACCCAUAUCCACAUUCAAUGAUUUUAAGUCACCGGUUCCAGCUACAGAAUCUGGAGAUUCAGUUAUUACCGCAUCAUCUGUCUGCCAUUUAAUUGCUGCUUCUUCUUUCUCAUCCACAAAUGUUUUCUCUGACUGUGAUGACAUAUGUUCAGGCUCCAAAUUGGUUGUUACAAAAGAGUUUGUAGAAGAGAUAGCUCCACAAUCAGAAUCAAGUUGUUUUUCAACUUCCAUUUUUUCAUGAUCCCCUAGAGAAUCAAGCUUAUCUUGCAGACUGAUUAGCUCCCUGGCGACAUGCUUCCUCAUGUCUCUCACGCUCGGAUGCAACCCCUGUAAGGUUCAUGACAGAUCAACCAAAAUUAAAUACAAAAAGUCAGCACUAACUAAUUUGAAGAUCAAAUAUGGAAAAGAAAACAUGUUCACAGUUUCAAGUCACUCGAAUAAUAAUCCACAUCAUGUGAAUCCUUCAAAAGGAAAUAAAAACAUGCAGAUCAAUGGACAAAUCAAUUUCGGAAGCAACAAAAGAGAUUCUGAAAAAUAUCAAGUCAUUGCAAAUAAAGGCAUUUUUUUAUAUAGAUAAGUGAACACAUACCUGAAUGGUAUCCAGCUGCAACAGAAGAUUCAUUAUGGCCUCACUUAUUGCAACCUUGUGUUUCAAAUCCUGCUCCUUGGAGGAGGCUUCAAACAUCUGAAUUUGCUUCUUCACAGCCUCGGUCUGUUGACGAAUUUGAUGAAUUUUCCUUAGCUUCUCAAGAGGUUGCCAUCUUCUCAUCUCGAAUCCUCUAUAAGCAGAUUGAAUAAGAGUUGCUGCAUCUGAUUGUGACAAAAUUUUCCUUUCCUUCCUUUGUUCAUUAAUUAUGCUUUCUGAGUUCUCCAUACACCUCUUCCCCUCAUCAAGUUCAUGUGUUGCUUUAUCAGUUGGCACUUGCUCAUCCUCCUCAACUUCUUUCCCAUACUUCAAUACCUCUACUGUUUUGACCUCCAUAGCCUCAAGUCCUGUUCCUUUGUCUGGCUGUUGAUUUUCCUCGAUCUUAGCAUAUUCUUCCUUAACAGUAGCUGUCAUCAUCUCCUGACUUUCCGUUUUUGGAUUCUCUGCUUCAUUUGACAAUUUAUCAGCAGCUUCUACUACCCGGACCUCUUUUUUAGAUAUUUCUUCCUUCUUAUCUUUUAAAAUUGGCUGCUCUCUUUCUGUUUUCUCCUUGUGAGCCUUCUCCUGGUCCUUGAAUCCAGGUGGACUAGGCGACCUUGAUGUGCCAUUUGUGGGCUUCUUCCUUGGCAAUGGAUCCACUCUCAAACAUACAGGAGGCAACUUUGAUGUCUUGGUCGGUGGCAAUAGUUUGCUAAUUGAUUUCUUAGCCCCAUUUUCCUCCUGUUUUUCAGGUAUGCUAUGAGAUUUCUCCUCCUCCUUAUCUUUGCGCUUCUCAUCCAUGUUAGGCCUCUUUUGGUUGUCCUCUUCUAUAUGCUUCACAGGAAUGAUCUUAGUUCUGCUUUUUCUUUCAGUCACUGCUUCUCGAUGUCCAAGAGUUUUAUGCCUGUCCUCUUUGUCGCCUGGUGAUAUGUGCUCAUCCCCCAGAAGUUUUAAUGGAAUAAGUUUUAUUUUUGAGGAUGGUGUUUCUUUAACUUCCGGAUUCGAAUUUAUCUCCUUCAAAUCUUUAUCUUCUGAUUUCUGAUCACCAGGCAUCCAGAUUAUUGGCCAGGGGAACUGAUUUCUCCUCUCAUCAUACUGCAGACUCUUUUUCCCAUCUUCAUCUUGCUUCGCACCAUCGAGUCCAUUGAUGUCCAUAGGAAUCCAUCCAUUCCACUGAGGAGAUGAUUCAGAGCUCUUAUUAGUCAUUUUGUUCUUCAAAUAGCUGGGAGGGAUGCAUACUACUGGGUAAGGGUAAUUUGGCUGUUGAAUUAGACUUGAGGAUUCAUUGUCCUGAUCUUUCUCGGUCUUCUGUUCCUCAAUCUUCACAUUAUUGUUACCUCCCUUGUUGCAUGUGUGAUCAGGGCAACCACAACAAUAAGCUCUGGGACGAUCAUAAUCAUAUGGAUUUUGAUCAGCUGAAUAAUGUGAAGGAGGAAUCACAAAAGAAGGGUAAGAACUAUAAUAAGGGGGGUAAGGGGCAUGAUAAUAUGCUUGAGGAGGUGGUGGAGUAUAUGGACACGGAGGCCUAAAAUAAAAGUAGCCAGGAGGAUAGACAUGGCUGCAACAACCAUUAGCUUCCGUUGGACUUGGGUGGGCAACGCUACCAUUGGAAGUCCAUGGUCCAAAGGAUGAGAAAGGUCUCGCUGUGUCUACUCUUGUUUGAGGAGAAACAGCUUCCCAGCUCGGAUAGUGGUGAUAAGGAUAAGGAAUGUGGUCUCUGUUUUGAGGGUACGACUCCAUGUACCGAUAAGGGGGAACCAUUCUUGAGAUCUUGUUAUUGGUUUAACCUAUGAGAAAGGUUCAAAGUUGUACUUGUUCACUUCACAAGUCUUGGAAACUUGAGAGAUCGUAUUACCCGUAAAUAAAUCCUGCAAAAAAUGUACAAUUUUAUUAGGAAAAAAAAAGCAUAGCUCUAUGUGAAAUUACAUCAAAGAAGAAACUAAACAAAGAACACCCAAUAAAAUCUCUUAGUUCCAAAGUUUAACAAGCAAACCUGAAACAAGAAACUACAAGACAUGCUAAUGUGCAGGGAAAAAAAUUGCAAUGGAAAGACAUCAAAAAUUAGAUAAAUGAUAAUUCAUUACUGUGUGUGUAUAUAUAUAUAUAUAUAUAUGCCUUGCAUGCUUGACCAACAAGAAACCAGAACAUCUUACGAUUAUUCCAGGAGUAGACCAUUAGUUAAGGCAGGCGAUAUAUAAACCAUGUCUCACAAAAUAAUCGGCUUUAGAACUUCCGAUAACCAAUUAAAUCAGACAUUCCUUACCAGAUAGCGAGAAUAUGGAUAAUAAGAAAUUCUAACGUUUUGCAGGAGCCAUUUCAGUAUUAGCACUAAUAUUAUCUACAGCCAUAUAUCACUUAAUCAAAUGACUGUUGCUCUUUUAAUAGGGAUUUACGAUGGAGAUAGAAGCAUAUUUUUGUAGCUGCCAAAAAACUAACUUUAGAAUCUACUUCAAGGCAAAUGAAAAAACAAAUAAUAUGAGCUGCUAAACACAAAUUACACAUAUUUUGCUAAACUCUUUUCUUCAUCUCCUAUCCCCUGGUUUCCUUGGAGGACACUUCUAUUCAAGUAAAAGGAAAAGGAAAAUGUUGAUAGCAGCCUAUGUUUGCACCAUGACAGAUAGGAUGAUCUCAAACCCAAUAAUAAGAUGUAGUUCGAUUAUUUCUUUUUAUCUCUUUUCCCCUUGUUUUCCAAACAACUCAAAAGGAAGAGAAAAAAAAAAAGGCGAACAAUUAAAUGAAAGGGACUUACAACAGGAUUUUCUUUUAAUAUCUUUUCCGACCAAAUGAAAGGGGAAAAAACAAAGAUUGCAGCAAAUCGACUAGCUAACAGGAAAAUCUUUGCCACCUUAAUCCUCAAAGAAGAUACAAUGGCCAACUCAACAAACAUACUAAGCUAAAGACUUGGGAAAUCAAUUGGUCCAUGUAGGCAUGAUUCGAACGACUGGAAGUCGAAUGAGUUACUAAAAGUAGAAAAGGUAGUAGUAUAAUUUUCAAACUCCUAAAAUAUGGAUGUCCAGAAUUUGUUGAACCUUUGCCUUGAUGAUAAAGAGAUCCACAAUGUUCGAGAUUAUCAGUCCAGCUAAAUAUUUAAGCUUUUAGGGCAGAUGCAAAAUAACAUGGAAAGCAACAAGAUGACCAUUUUCCUUCAUCGAAGAGACACAGAUCACUUCAUAUUAUCGCUACUAUUGAGGAACAAGUGCGAUGCCUGUACUAUCUUAAACCAUGUGCUAUUGCUGCCAACUAAUGAUUGAAAAGGAGCGGAAACGCAAACAUCUGAGGCAGAUAAUCUCUACUUAAUCCCCGCGAUAGAGCAGCAUCCCCUCUCCUACUUCCGUUGCCGAAUAAAUUUGAUUCAUUUUAAGAACCAAUCCAGCAAUCCAGAUCAAGACGAAUAAAAGUAACUCAAACAUAACCCUACCGCGGUAUCCGUACUACAAAAUCUCCAUAACACAUGAUCAAAUUCGGCAUCAGGGUACCGCAAUAUCACGACAAUCAACCAAGAUUCCAAGCUACAACAGCGAAAUUCUUUGACCAAGAAUCCUACACGAGCAAGGGAAAAGAAAGAGUGACCAGAGGGGGAGAAAGAGAUGAUAUCUAGACGAACCUUCCGGGCGAUCCCACGAACCAAAUGACCCGGCUAUCGACGCGAAACGAUCCGCCAACCCUUUCUUUCCUUUCCCUCUACUGAAACCUCAGUCGCUUGCGGAGAGCUUCUCGAUGUUCCUGUGAGAUAACGCACGCCAUCGUCUUCCCUUUUAAAGGGGCAAUGGCGAGGAACUCAUCGAACGCUCGAGAGGCUUCUUGACGCUGACCGGACGAGCUUCGCCUCGCUUCUCGACCUUUCCCGCUUCCCUUCCGACGGAUGAGCUGUUAUUAUUCUAGAUGGAUCGGAAGGCGGCCCAUUUUGUAGCAGACGGGCCUUCAACUGGAUUUCCACGUUACAAACCAUGCUUCAUGAGCAUGACUGUGUUUACAUAUAAUAAACAAAUAUCAUUCAUAUUUUAAUCAACCUAUUCAUACGCAUGCACAUAAGACUGUGAGAUGAUUCCAAAGUAAAAAUGUGUAUAUGAGAUAGCUCCGAGAUGGAUCUGAGAUGACUCCGAGGUGAAAAUAUUAUACUCCCGAUGUGUUUUUUAUAUAAAGAUUAGGGUCAGAUGGGGUUUCUUGACUCAUGACUCUCAAGUUAGUAAUUUGAGAUCUCAAAUAUAAGUUAAAGUAGUUCUUUUUAAAGAUAUUUUUAUUCUUGUUUAUGAUAUAUUUUUAAACAUUCGAAUAAGGGUAUUUUCUCAUAAAGGAGGAUAAGAGGGUUUAGAAUUAUUCUCCUUGUUAUAAAGAAAAAUAAAGGAGUCUGUGUUUCUCUUUCUUAUCAUAAUAAACAAGAAGAAAGUUCAUAUUUUUCUAUUAUGAUUCUUUAUACACGUAGACAAACGUAGGAUGACAUAAGUGAUGGUUGCAUUAUAACUAUCGGUAAAUUUCCUAUGAAAAUGCUAGCAGAGAAUGAAGUCACGUAUUGAUCUUGUUAGACAAUUCUAUGAAGCAAUGGACAACUUCUUGCACAGAUGUUCCAAUGAAUUAACCCAAUUUCGGAAUAUUGACUCUCUAACCAAUUAAGAAAUGAGUCACAUUGUAUGUGAACCAAUGCAAAAUAAGUGUCCAAGAAACUCCAUUGCUUGUUUUUUCUUUGAUGCAGUCAGUAGAAAACCAUAGUCAAUGUGCACUUGCAAGGGAUCCUUAAUUGCUCACAUCACAUGUUAUUGGCAAACUAGUAUUGAAUUCCAACUAGUAGUAUGCUUUCAUCAUCUCGUGAUUCUUUCCUUGUUUUCUUGCCAUGAUGGAUUACCUAAAUCACCCUGCUUUAUUAAAGGACAGGUGAGGACUCGCUGGACUUACUCUCACUGGGACCAACGAAUCUUUGCUCAAGAUUCAUCAGAUCCAUACCAACUCUCCUUUUCAUUUUGGGGGUUCCCAAGAAAAAGGCCAUGGCCUGCAUCAGUCAGCUCCAAUUCUUUCAAAGUACAUGAUAAUAAUGAAAGAAUAAUAUCAGGACAAUUAUCUAUCCACGCAGCAGAUUGAUAGAUCAAAGCAUCCUUUGCACAGCAGAGAAUACGAUAAAGAAGAGAGACUAGAUUAAAAAGACUUCCAGAGCCUGCAGUGAAGAUGAGCUAAUUAAGCUUCUUCCAUCUGUAGAUGCUAAAUUUCAAUUUUGGAAGGCUCUCAUCUUGAUCUUUCUUUAAUUUUAUGCAUACAACUUUCUGGCAGUCAAAACACAGGAGAAGGGGAGGAUGUGAAGUGUGAAUGGAUUCCAUGCAUGUGUGUUUCUGAUGUGGAAGAAAAGGAAGUCGGAUUAAUCCAAAGGUCAAUUCUGAAUCUGAAUCACUCUUUUCACUAAACAAUAAACUUGGUUGUUGGAUGUUCCUUGCCUGCACUUCUUUUCUUCAUCUGUGGAUUUUAGUGAAGUGAAUUGCCACACACUUGGUGAACAGGUUCAUACUCAGUUGUUUGUCAGGAUCAAUUAGGUAAUGGCAAGAUGCAUUUUAUAAUGAUUGCAUCUUGCAUAUUAGAUCAUGAUUAGGUGGGGGACAAAGUAGGGAGAACAGUACUCAUCAUUAAUCUAAUUAUACAUGAGGAAGUCAUAGGUUCUUUCCUGUUACUAACAAAAGAUCAUAGCUAAAGGAUUGUUUCUUGGAGAACACUCAGGAUUUAGCAAGAGCAAUGACAUCAGAACAGAGCUCUGUCACAGGCAGCACAUAAAAAAACUAGCUUGGACUUUUGGGGCAAUGAAGAACAAGCUUGCAGGAGACCAAACAAAAUAGUUGACUAGCUGUGCAAUUCAUCAAUUAAUGUCAGUGAAUUCCACCAAAAUAACAUGAUCCAGAAACUUAUUUUAUCUCCUGAUUCUGCACACAUGUUUCACCAAGAAAUUUCAUCUUCAGUCUACCACUGGUCUACUAUUCAAGUCCUCUGUAGACACCAUGAAUUUUCUUUUAUUUGCAUCUUUUAAGGGUCAUGCAACCAAGAAAACGAGUGAACCAUUGACAAACAACAGUCAUUUGGUAAGCGCAGAUGCAUUACCUAAUCUGAACCUUUAUUUGAUCUGAAGAUUUGUUUGUAGUCAAGUAUUGUAGAUUUGUUGUGUGUUGUGAUGCUACUGACACUUCACAAGUUUAAACAUUAGAGAUGGAUGCUUAUCUACUCAAGCACAAGAUAACAUGAAGAGGACUGAAACUUGGAUAUCUAAAUUCCAGAUUAGAUAAGCACCUAAAGCAUGAAGAGGAUGUGAUUAUUGUUUAUUUGGAAAGGUUUUUCCUUCAUGUAACAGAAGACUGAUGCAUCAUCAAAAUUUUUCUUCACCAAAAACAAAUAUGCACAUAAAACUCUGAUUUGCAUAAACCAAUAAAGGCCACAUCUGCUCUGAAAUGGCUGAACUGGUUAGAAUUAUUAUUUCUUUUAAGAAGAUCUGCUGAGCAGAGUGAGUGCUGUGUGCCAAUGCCCACCGCCGAAUUAGAAUCUAAUUCCCUGCACUGCCCACUUGAUAAUGGCCCAAACUUUUGUUCAUCUUCAUGCCAUUAUUCUCUUCAUUCUGUCUCUAACACAGUUGGGGAGAUGGCUGAAUCCACACUAGUGGAGAUGAGGCAGAGAACAUACAGUACAAUUCCCUGAAAUCUGAUGGGAACCAAAAAAGAAAUCUGCAGGAGUGUUCCAACUUUACAGCUCUCAUUGCUUGCUGGUUUCAACCUUUAUGAAUGGAGAUCCUCGUCAACACUAGAGAGAGAUAAACAAAAGGUCACUUAACCCCACUUCUUCCCAGAAAAAUAGUGAGAGAUGCUUGAAUCACUCACAACAAGUACCUGAGUCAGACCAACAACAAAAGUAGUAAACAAUGGAAGAAAGAAAAACUUGAUGGUAAUAAGAUUAUGAUCUCAAUAGAAUAGAAUAGAGGAAAAGAUAUUGUAGCAAGUUGCGAGAGCAGUGAGUCAUGAAAUAGUGGACAGAAGAAUCUCCCAAGGAAUCCAUAAACGGUGGGUGGUAGAUACGGUGGAAUCCACCAUCCCACAGCCCAAUUAUCGUUUCUUCAUCAACAGUAAAUUGAGUUUAUAUUGGACUUUUCAUUUUAAUUUAUUGAUAUCAACCCAUCGUUACCUCCAGCAAAAAGCUCUCGUCGCGUCAUUAUUACCAAUCACCAUGCGAGUAAUUUUGGGUACAGUCAAGAAGGAGUAGGAAAAAUUUAAAAUGGGUCCCGCCGCGUCCGUUGAAUCUGACACAGGGAAAUGACCUUAUCGUGCGCCGCCCUCCUUAUCGUGCUCCAGCAGACGGCUAUAUAUAAAUAAUAAAAUAUGCACCAAGUUAAUGCUUGUUUUAUGAAGAGGUAAUUACAAACCACCAAAAAGAACAAGAGAUAAUUAUGACGUCAUAAAGAAAAGCUGGAGUAUUUUUAUCAUACUGCACCUGCAGGGAAAUAUAUGCAAAUGCAAACCUCAACUUUGACGAAUAUGUUCGGUAAUACAAAUAUUCUUAGGGGUAUAAAUGCGAAACAAAAAUCGGCCCUUUAACCCAAUCCGCGUCGCGUCUUCGAUUCUCUUCGGUGUGUGGUUUGUGGUUUCCGCUGUCGUCCGCAAGACCGAGAGAGAAGCUGGCGGAGAAAGGGGACAGGGAAAAGAAAGCAAACGAAACGAAGAAAACCCUAGCUUCUACCGCUUUGCUUGGGAUCUCAGGCCCCUGGGGAUCUUCGAUUCCUUGUUCUUUGGUAUCCUCGAUUCGAUGUUGGGUGCCUUUCCAUUUCAUUUUGUCGCUUAAUGUUUGUGCCUCGGACUUCUGGUUAUUUAUAGCCGAGUCCUAGAUCUUUGUUUUCUUCCUUUCCGUUUCGCACUCGGUUCUGAGAAAUUUGGUGUUUUGAUGUAAUUUUCUCGUUCCAUGCCUCUGAUGGAUGUGGACUUUGUGCUAUAUCGGUGAUACUGUUGGUCGGAAGGCUUCGAUUCUAUAGAGAAGACAAUUGUUUAUUAGUUUUGUGGUUAUUUGUUCUUGCGUUUUUAUUGGGGUUUUGGAUUUAGAAGUUCUGUUCAUUGUUGGACGUUGUGGAUUUUUCUCCGUGUAUUUCCGUGCCCGGUAAGUGAAGGGAAGUAGUGAUAUACCGAGAUCUUCUUAAAGUUGGUAUCACUAAAUCUGAAUGUUAUCCAGAUGAGUUUGUAGAUCUUGUUAGAUUAUUAGCUGUUAGUUAUAUUGUGUUAUGGUGAACAAGCUUGAAGUAUUAGACUUGUUUUGCUUAUUUUUCUUACUUUUAUCUGCCUCAGAUAGAUUCUCCCGUCGUCGCCUGUCUGUAUUCCCUCGAGGUCUGGGUUUAUCUGUUGCUUAUCAUUUCCUCAAGUCUUCGAGGUUCGUUUACUUUCUCAAGCUGAUUGCAACUUGAGAGGUUGCUAGUUUUUAAUCAAGAUCCAUGCAUGCUUAAUCUUGUCGGUUUGACUUUUAUGUUGUUGUUUAGACUUUGUUACUAUGAGAUCCUCUUCUGGCUGAUUCAUAGUUAUCUUGAAUUUGUUUAGCAUAUAUGUAUCAGGUUCUUUAUCUUUGAUUAAGUAUGUUUCAAGUAUUUGAGCAGCUUUAAUUUAGUAUCUACUUGUUGAUUUUAUUAAGAAACCUUUUUCUUUAUUUUUUGUGCAUAUUGUGAGUAUUCGAUUAUAUAAAUUAAAUUUCUUAAAGGAUUUAUCUUACCAUAAUGUUUUUAAUGAUCUCAGUGAUAUAUUAUCUUGUCAUUGUAGAACAUGUGAUCAUUUUCAUUGUACUUCUAGCAUCUCCCAAUUGGAAAGCAAGUUUCGUGUGUUUAGAUUGUGUGUUUGAAUUGUUAUUUUGUUUGAUUUUAUCCAAUUGUAUUGAUUGGUUUAAAUCCGGUUAGUUAGCUUGGGUUGGUACGAGUUUACUUUGGACAGUUCAGAUCUUUGAGCAAGAUUUUCUUUUUUUUAAGAGUUUGACAUGAGAUCAAACUCAAGCUAUUCAGGAAACGUUGGUUUCUUAGGUUAGAAUUUUAUUUUUUUAUUUAUUUGCUAAUAUCAUGUCGUAAACACAUAAGGACUGCCCAAACCUGCUUCUUCAUUACUGUCAAAUGGCAGUUUGUUUGUGUUUUGUUCCAUUCAUCUUUUUUUCCUUAUAUUUGUCAAAUAGCAGCUUUCUUAUUUACAUAGCCCAAUAUUCCAGUAAAAGCAACUCAGCAGCCUGCAGAGUUGAAGAACUUGCAGUUUUCAACAAUCCAAGUCUAGCAUAGUUUAAGGAAGUAACACAAAGAGGAAUAUAUGAUUAAAAAGGAGAAAGGAACAGGACGGAGAGAUGGAAGAAUGACAAGAUUCUCUUAGAAGCAUUGAGAAUGUAAAGAGGAUAGGCUUAGUCAGUAACAAGUUCAAGGCAUUAUGCAUGGGAAUGUAUCACAGAGACUACUGUAAAGCUGAAGAAUGGGAAGUCUCUCUAGGACUUUCAUAAUUUCUGUCUGUGUUAAAUUUACAACAUUAUUAUAGAGAAAUAAGAAUGUGACCAACUUUUUUAGAAGCCAAUAUAUUAUUCUACAAGAGAACUGUAUUACCCUAAAGAACAGGAGACAAAGAGAAUCAAACCAUAUAUACUUUGUAGUGUCAAUAGGUUAACAAUUAGAAUAGACUUAAAUAAACCCAUAUAAUGUGGAUAGGCUUACUUUUUAAUAGGUGCUUCUACAUGGACCAUAUAAUUCUUGUUAAGGAUAGUUGCCGUCUGCUUUGAUGUGGCAAAGGACUGUUGUCUCACUGUCUCAGAAAAUUCCUUUGCUAUACUGCAGAUUAAGGAAGCACUGUUGCCUUAUGCAGUGGUUGCCUUAGGAAACAUGGAAAUUUGAAUUGUUUGUUUUAUUUGGGUACAAAUGAAACAUAAUACUUGUAAGAUUCUUCUGGAUACAUAUCGAACAUUUCUUUAAAAUGUGUGAUAUUUGAACAAUUAGUGAAGCCUUUUGACUCUGUUCGUUGUAGAUACCUUGAGAGACCUUUGUUUGCAUGAAUUAAUUAUAUACAAGUUGCAUAUUUCAUUAGAUCUGUUCUUUUGUGGCAUUUAGCAUUAGAUUGUGAUUAAUGAAGCUAACACAAUGGCAUUUAUUUCUAGUAAGAUUUUGCCAAUUUUAUCUACGAUGACAAGAAUCUGCACUUAUGUCCCAAUGACUUGGGGUCAUCUACAUUCGUGAAAUACUAUGUUAAUGAAAUUAUUUUCUUCAUAAUGAAUAGCUUAGGGAUGCUAGUUAAUUAUUGGUUAUUAUUUAGUAGGCUGUGUAACUCGAUAUUCUGACCCUAUUAAGAAAAUCUCGAGCUUUGACAUUUUUAUAUUUUUUAAAUAUUUCAUAUGAUGUUUGUGCCUUAUCAUCACCUACUAUUCAAGAUUUGGCAUAUUGGUGUAUUGUGUUGUGCCAUUUUGGUUUCCCUUCCUAUAUUUCUGCUUCAUAAGGCUUGUCUUUCCUGUCGACAGGAAAGAGUAUAAUGGACUUGCUUCUAUAAGAAUACAAGACCACCAGAAUAAUCAAGUUAUUUGUUAGACGAUCACAUAACUGAAUUGAUUCUCGGUAGUAUAAAUGAUAGAAAAGAAGAAAGAAAAAAGGGACACAUGGAGAAGAUAGAGAAAGAAAGGAUUGAAAUAAAAGCCUGUGUGAUUUGACAACCACAUGACACAAAUUUGAUUAGUUAGUUUAGUUAAUCUAAACCAGCACAAACUGUGGGAGGAAAAACUACUAACUUCCUGAUAUAGUACAAAUUGAAUGCCCUGUAUCUACUCUCUAAUAUAUGAUGGUUGUCUGAAAUUUUGGUAAGAUAAUGAAACUUCCUUCCUUUUUUCCUCUGCGUUUCAAUUUAACCUGUCUUUAAGCAAAAGGUUACAUGAUGUAAGAAAUUAUCAAAACAUAUGGUCAGAGAGAUUUAUUUGAAGUAGGUGUUCCAAUUUAAUUUUGUACACAGACAUGCAUAGUUAUGUAGCUAUAUGUAGCUCCCAGUAACCAAUCAGAAACAUUUUGGUCCUGUAAUCCUGCCUUUUAUAGAGUCUGAUGCACAUCACACUAGGCACUUAGCUUGUAUUCCCUUUUGACCAGUCCUUUGGUGCCUUCUUGGAUUUAAAAUUUGAUCUAGCACUUAAAUAGCUGUUACAUUUAUGUAUACAUCAGGUGUAGCUGGGAUACGUGGCAUUAUAAAAAUUUCUUGAUGAGUUGCUGAUUGAUUCUUUGAUUCCACUUUGUUUGCUAUGGUUGUCACUUUUUUAAAUCUCUUGCAUCUCUUCAACCUAAGAUAGCAGAUAGAAAGACGUGAUAUUACUUCAUUUUAUGUGUCACUUUAUUAUAGUAGAUAGAAAUUUGCUGAUGUACACGCACUCUUUCUUUAAGCUCUUGCAUCAGCUACCAAUUUAAACUAGCAAGUAUGGUGUUCAACCUUGUAAACUACUACAUAAUGAAUCUUUAGUUUUUUGUGGUUCUUACUAUGUAACUUCCAAUUUGAAGAAGCACUUUUUCCCUGAGAUGGAAUGUUUAUGCACUUGUUAAGUUUUUGGAAUCAGCUUUGCUGGAUGUUUUUUUUAGGAUAUUUGACUUCCUGGUCUAUUAUCCUUUCGUAGGGGUAUUUUCUUUUCUUCUUUUUGUGCUUUUUCUUGGGAAUUAAUGAGAUUUGCUGGUGAAUUUUUCUGUCGUAUAUUUACUCUUGUAGCUGGUUUUGUGCAGAAGCUAAUUAGAUGAUUCCCCUAAUUUUAGCGAGUCAUGUUCUAAUUAGUUUGUUCGACAGGAAAAUUUGACUGCUUUGAUCAUCCUUGAUGGUACCAGUUUUCUGAAUAUCAGGAUCUGAUGCCAAGCUUCAGCGACUGCUAAGUACAUAAACAACUAGUCAAUUUUUUUAGUAGAUGGAUCGUCGUGAUACAUCAGGAUUUGUUAGCGGAGGUUGCAAUGACUCAGAAACCAUGAACACUUGUUUUGAUUCUUAAACAUAAUCAGCCCCGGAAGUCAGGCAACUUGUUUUUUCCUGUCAAGAUUUUGUUGAGAUUGUGAUCUUUUCUGCCAAUAGCUGUUAUGGAUGAUAGGCUUGGGCUUUUUGGAUAUAGUUUGAAUGUCCCAUCCAGAAAUGCUUUUAGGAUUUUGGCUCAAAAUCAGACUGAUACCACAUUGCGGAUUGGCUCUCCUGGUUCAGCCUGUCUGGAUUUUCUAAAUUCAAAAGGGAUAAAGAGGAAGUGGUGUGAUUUUGAUGGAAGUGGUAUGGGAAAGGCUUCCUUAGCCCUAGAUUUAGGCCGACCAUCAAGUUCUUCAGAUAGCAGCAAGAAGAGCUCUGCAACAGCUUGCACCAUGUCUUCAGUCAAGGAAACCGACGACGGGUCCUCCAUGGAUCUUGGAUUAAAUUUUGAUCUUUACCUUGGUAGUGAAAAUACAGACAGCACAAAGAAACCUGCUCUUGCUGUUUCAAAGAUGAUGAAUAUUGAGCCUAACUUUGACGUUCAGUUAAGUUUAUCCAUAGGCCCAUCUGAAUCAGUUAUUACUGGUGUAACUCCAGUCUCAGUUCAUCAUGAUUAUAUCUUGGACAACCCAAUAACUGCUAGUCAGAUGUCAGCACUUGAUGAAGGAUCUACAUCAUCUCGUUGGAAGAAUGGGAAUAAAUUAUUGCCAUAUAUAAAUAGCAUUGAUAAAACUAGUAGUUUUUUCCCUGAUGGAAUGAAUUAUGCCAAAUUUUGUCUUGAACAGCAAGAUUGCUCUUCUUCAACCAUGACUCAAAUGCUGAAAAAUUCAGUUGCCGCUUCCGGGGUUACUCAAACACAACAACGCAAUAGUAACAUAAAAAAUUGUCAGUUUCCAGGAUGUGCAAAAGGAGCCAGGGGUGCUUCUGGGCUAUGCAUAGCCCAUGGUGGUGGUCGGAGGUGCCAGAAAGAUGGCUGUCACAAAGGAGCUGAGGGCAGAACCAUCUUUUGCAAAGCCCAUGGGGGUGGCAAGCGAUGCCAGUACCUUGGCUGCACCAAGAGUGCUGAAGGCCGCACCGACUGCUGCAUUGCUCAUGGUGGUGGCCGUAGAUGCAGCCACGAAGGCUGCACUAAAGCAUCAAGAGGAAAAUCUGGUCUUUGUAUAAGACAUGGUGGUGGCAAGAGAUGCCAAAGAGAGAAUUGCACCAAGAGUGCAGAAGGUCAUUCUGGCUUAUGCAUCGCCCAUGGGGGUGGACGGCGUUGCAAAUAUCCUGAAUGUACGAAGGGUGCACAGGGCAGCACAAAUUUCUGCAAGGCACAUGGUGGAGGUAAGAGGUGCACAUACUUGGGUUGCACGAAAGGGGCUGAAGGAUGCACACCCUUCUGCAAAGCACAUGGUGGAGGGAAGCGCUGUGCAUUUCAAGGUGGUUGUACAAAGAGCGUGCAUGGUGGUACCCAGUUCUGUGUAGCUCACGGUGGUGGGAAAAGGUGUGCUGUGCCGAAUUGCACCAAAAGUGCCAGAGGAAAGACAGAUUUCUGUGUACGUCAUGGUGGUGGUAAGAGAUGCAAGACUGAGGGUUGUGGAAAGAGCGCUCAGGGUAGCACUGAUUUCUGCAAGGCACAUGGGGGAGGUAACCGCUGUACGUGGGGCCAACCUGGGUCCAACAUUGGUACUGAUGGCGCCCCUUGUGACCGAUUUGCUAGGGGGAAGCUCGGCCUCUGUGCUGCACACACUGCACUGGUGGAAGAUCACUGUGUCCAUGGUGGGCAUCAACUGGUCACUGUGAAUUCCGAGCAUCAGAUACCCAGCAAACCUGAGAAGAUGAAAGAGAUUGUUGAUCCCGAUAGGUUCUUGGAGAUAGAAAAUCGAAAGAAUAUGACCUUUGGCUGGAGCGGGAUUCAUCAGACAGAAUAUAUUCAUCCUACAAACCCUCUUAAUUCUAUGAUGGCUUCUCUUCCAGAAGGUAGAGUGCAUGGUGGGAGUCUUGUAGCAAUGCUUGUUAGCAAUGCAGGUCUCGGUGGUGAUUCUGCAAGCCAAGUUGAUGAUGGUAAUUCCAAAGUUGAUGUUGGUAAUUCCAAACCGGGGAUUCCACACAUUAUGGGUGGCAAGUGGGUCUGAUAUUAGAAAUUUGGGUCCUUCGGUGUGUUAUUCCCUGUGUAACUCGGAUGUCUCUGGCACAAUAUCGGUAUAUAUGAUUAGUGACUUAGCUGUUUGGGAAAAACCUAUCUUUCCAAUAAGUUACUGGUUGAAACAUACCUGUGAUUUAACUGUACCUCCUCCUGACUGAAUGAGGUGAUGUAUGGUAGUGUCUAGAACCUGUGCAGUUUAGAGAAGCAAAUGCUUGCUGUAGGUUUUCUCCCCUUAAUCCGCACCAUUCGCAAUAAGCUCUGUUAAUAUGUGAUGAAAAUGUAAAUAUUGUAGCUUGUGUGAUCUUUUUUCCUUUUUCUUUCAGAUGUGGUGUAAUUUUAUACUGUUACUCUUCAUUAUUAACCUCAUCAUUUACUCUGGUUUAUUAGGAGUUUGACUGUAUGGAUUAAGUCUGCCAUUUGUGUCAUUGCCAUCCAAGUUACUUUCCUACAUAGAUUUUGUUGCUUCUCCCAAUGUCAAACAACUUUGGGACCAUUUUGCUGGUUUUGUAAUCUUGACCGCAGGUGUUUGAUUCUCGUCACUCUCCGUCUGUGCUUGUCGUGAGAUAUAUUUCUACAGGUGAAUGUCUGGUGGUGUUCUUUUCUGUUGCUUCUCUGUCUACGGUAAAUUCUUCUUUGGACUUGCCAGUUUAUACUCUCUGUCGUACACAAUCGUAUAUAGUAGGAGGCAUACACGAAUGAUGACGUGGUUCAGCUUUAAGAAUCGGGCUCAGCUUUCCCACGUCGUUGAUGUUGAUCGGACGGGCUGCAUGCGAUGGGACGCUCCAUUCCUCGUGGUCAGCACGGCUUCGUCACUGUGCAAUCUUUAUACGUAACGAUGCUCGCCCGGUGGUCAAAGUCAAACGACCCAUAUCCAUGAAACUGUAUGACACAGCCCCUCUCCCUCUCUCUCUCUCUCUUUCUCGUGCACCGGAAAAGUCAUGGCACGAAACAUAUCAUUCGUCUGCUCUGCUGCCAUCGAUUCAGUGUUUGCACCCUCCUCUCUGCUCUGUCUCUCGUCUCCUCCACAUUGCUUUUUCCCUUGCGCUGUAUCUCAGUCCCUCUCUUUCUCUCUCUUUCUCCAUCCUUCUUUUAAGACCCCCUUUGCGCUAUCUUUCCUUGGACGACCAUCAAAAGUUAGGAGAAAAAGGAGUGGGAAGAGAGGGAAAGCUACGCAGUGAGAAAAGCUUGCCUCUUGCUCGUAGUAAUAGGAAGCAAAGAGUUUUACAGGUCGGCUUCACCUCUGGCUCUCCCGACCAUGGAAUCGUUCAGCCUCCUCAAGUACUGGCGCGACGGCGGCGGCGGAGCCACCGUCGCCGCCGCCAUUCGCUCUUCCAUCUCCACCGCCGCCGCCGACUUCCCCCAUCCCGUCUCGGCGACAUCGGAUGAUGGCGGCGAAGACGACGACGAAGGCCCCUUCUUCGACCUCGAGUUCACCGCCCUUUCCGUCGAUGAUGGCGGGUCCGAUGACGGCUCUGGGGCGGAGUCGGAGGGUGAGCUGAACUUCGAGCUGAGCCCUGUCGGCAGCGGCGUCGGAAGAGGAGGAGAAUGUGACGGCAUCCGUGCUGAGGGUCUAUCCCCCUCUGACGGCCUCUUCUUCAAGGGAAAGCUCGUCCCUUUGGAGCCCUCUUCGCCAAUGAUCGCUGCCUCCCAGCCCGAAAACAAACCCCACGUCCCGGUAGUCUCCCUCCUCAAACCCGCCGCCAAGUUUCGUGUCUUCUUAACCCGGCUCCGUCGGCCCAAACCCACCGCGGCGAAGCCGGACACCGCCGUGGGCAUUGCGUCGCCGAAGCAGCAACCUCAGCGGCAUCAGAACAGGUUCUUCGUCAAGUUUAAGGCGGAAGACGUGCCCAUCAUCUCGCUAUUCGCACGAGACAACAGCCCCCGGAACUCCACCACCGACGGGGUCGCAAAUCCGCCAGGGGACACCGCCGCCAGCGUCCCCGCGGCGGUUGUAGCAGCGGAGGAGAAGAGGUACGCGAGGGAAGUCGUCCAUAAGUACCUCAACAUGAUCAAGCGUUCCAGGAAGCAGGGUGAGAAGCCGAAACGUCCCGGAGAGCCAGCGCCGCCGAAGACUGGGCCCGGGGCGGAGGAGCCACAGGAAGCAGCUCCAGCGCCCGCAGCGGGCGUGGCCGAGGACAAGGGACUCCCAGCCGGGCUGAGGAUGGUCGGGAAGCGGCCAGGCAAGAACCGGCCGGCGUCAGCAGCCGUGGCCGCGGUCCCUUCACCGCCACCGCAGCGACGCGACGACUCGCUCCUGGAGCAGCAGGACGGGAUCCAGAGCGCCAUCGCGCACUGCAAGCGUUCGUUCACCGCCCCGGACAAAGACACGCAAGCGCUGACGCACCCCAUCCUGGAUCGAUUCACCGCCGGUGACUUCUAGUGGAUCCACUCUCCCGCAUAUCCCCAACGUCGACCCGAUCCGUGCGAUGGGCGAUCACAGCUGCGAUCUGAGCCGCGCUUAUUCCUGGUCGUCCGAUUUCGAUACGAACAUCGAAAAAAAGAAGGGCAAAAAACGUGUCUUUAUCUCCCUGUCGUUUGUAGCGGUUGUUUACUCGUUAUGUUGACUGUGUGAGGCAGUGAUUAGAGAUGGAGAAUGCAAUGAUGAAUGGUGAGAACGGCAUUUCAGGGAGGGAGGCAAAAGAUUCCCAUGGCAUUGGGAAAGCUGCAGCAUAAUUCGGGAAUCUCUUUGCGACAUGGUGGAGCAACGAAUGUGCGGUGCAUCCCAUCAUCUCUCUCCUCUGCAUGCUUGUAGGCUUUUCAGUUCGCUUACCCUGGAAAUCCGCCACCUUUUCGAGCUUUUUGACAGAAGAAAGCAACAAGACGUCGAAAGACGAGCUUGGAUUUAAACUGCAGUAAUGUAGUUGUUCUCCUGUACCCAAUGAUCCUCUCAUCAUCUAUCACAUUAACGUGUUAUCAUGUGGAACAGAGAUGGGAUCACGUUCCCGACUCAGCCGUUGACGAAUGAGGUCCGACCCGUCUCAUUAAUGUCUUCACAUGGCUUUAUCGUCAACCCACUCCCUGCCUGUCAACGUUGACACGGACCUAACCAAUUAUGGUCAUAUUCACCGGCGGCCUGCAUCUCGACGCGAACAAGAACGAGGAGAAGGGAAGAAGGUACCAUCGUCGUCGUCGUCUUCACGGCCGAACCUUGUGCGCGCAGUUUUGAUCCACGAUGGACUGAUUGGCCACGGCCAUGGUGAUGCUGCAGUUCAUCGUCACGUCCACGUGAUGCUUGAACAGCCCGAGGACCUGCACCCGGCCGCCCACCGUGGUCGACGUGGUCACCGCGAUGCUCCCCCCCGCCAGGUCGUCGAACAGGUUGGCGUCGCCGAAGAUCCUGUCGGCCAUGACGUCCACCGUCACGUUGAGGCGGAAGGUGCGGUGCGCCCGAGCGGUGCCGGGGGGCCCGCGGGCGACGCCCAUCUCGCGGGCGCGGUAGUAGAGGGUCGUGGUGCUGGCGCCGAAGCGGACGCUGGCGGCGUUGGGGUUCUUCACCGACACGUCCGCGACGACUGUCAUGUUGAUGGCGAAGGGCUGGGUGGUGGAGGAGGGCGCGCCGGAGGCGAUGGCCAGCCGCUGGACGGUGACGCUGUUCAUGGUCAUGAUGGGCUCCUUGACCUUAAAUACGGUGAGGGCGAGGGCGACGAUGACGACGGUGAGGAUGACGAGGACAGCCGCGCAGGAGCCACCGUAGAUUAGGCACCGCCGGCGGUGGCGGCGGAUGGGCAUGGGGGCGAGGUCUUCCUCGUCGCUGGUUGGGUGCUUGAUGCUGACGGCCAACGGGGACGCGCUCAUGGCGGAAGAGAGAGAGAGACUGCGGUUGUGGGUGAAGGAUGAAUACAGAGAAAGGGAAUGCAACCUUGAUUUAAGAAGCGGUUGGAAGUUGAAAUGAAUAGCCUGUGAACAGCUUUCGUGUGAAAAGAUGUGUAGGUAUCGGAGACUAUAGCGAAGCUGUUAGGAAUUCGAGUAAGGUUAGGUCAAAUCGGGUCGGAUCACAAUGGUCGAACCCAAUACGAUCCGACUCUGAUUUGGUAACUGAACUCAACUCAUAUAAAAAUACAUAAAAAUUUAUCUUUAUUAUCACAUUCUUAGUUGGGAUCAUCUAAGAAGUAUGCUGUCGGAGUAACAUGUCAUGUGCACAUAAGAGUCUAAUAAAAACGUUGCAUGAAAAAUAAAUAAUAGUAAUAUAUUAUAAUUUUUUUUUAUAAAUGAACUAAGAAGAAAAUUGAGUUUAUAAACAACAUUAUAAAACAUUAUACUCAGUAACGUUGUUUGAUGUUGUUCAAUCUUGUUCGUCAUUUUUUAUGUUUUUCGCGGAGAAGGAAGAAUAAUAAGAGGAGGAGAAAAAAGAAAAUAAAGUAUUUAGGAGUAGUUUAGAAAUUUUUAUAAUUUUAAAAUGAAAUAUAAAUAGUAAAUAAGGAGUGUACAUAGUAAUAUUUCAAUUGUAUUAUAUAUAUCUUCUUAUUUAGAGAUAUAUUUUAGAGUGAGUAACCAAUUGAUCAUUUAUACUUAGGUUGCUAACAAGGAUAUGCAUGUCAUCUCUAAUUUUACUUACUAGAAUUUCUACUUGUAUUUACACCUUAUGUUAUUAUCAUCGAUGAAUGAUUAGUUUUUAUUUUUAUAUAUUUUUAAAGUAUAUAUAUAUAUAUAUUACAUAUUUUUAAAAAAAUAUAUGGGUAUAAAUAUUUAUACCCAUAUUUAUAUAUUCUUUAAAUUUACCUUAGUUAACUCGAUUGUGUCGCGUGAUGUGAUCAUCUCCUUUUUCUUCUGCGAUAUUUUCCUUAGAUGUGAUCAUCUUCUUUUCUUCUGUGAUAUUCUAAUGGAUCUCUUAUGUUAUCAUUUUGAAUCAACAUAAAGCGAAGAUCAAAUGGUAGUAGUAAUAUGAUGAGGUAAGGAUGACUAUUGUGAGACAAAAACGAUGAUCGAUAAUGUGAAUCCGAAAUAAUGUAAGGUAUUUUUUAAAUAAAUAAAUAAAAUAAAAAAAAUGAAUAAAUAAAUAAAUAAAUAAAAAUAUAUAUAGUAAAUAAAAAUAUAUAAAAAAAAAUAAAAAUAAAGGAGAAAAUUAAAAUCGAGACGUUCCAAAAAGGAAAUCGUCGUUUUUAAGAGAAGGGUGCAUUUUUGGAUGAGUGGUGGUGUACCGACAGACCCCUCUAAACGCGACUCCUACCUAGCUGUUUUGCAUCCACUUCAACGAUUUCUUGAGGAGUAGGGAUGGUGGGUCCCACGUAAGUCUUCAAUUACAAGCAGGUAAGCGGAGGCGGGUAAGUGGGUACCGAGUGGAAAAGUCCCUGCACGACAUAUAAUUUUCCUGUAAGAAAAUUCUAAAGUUGUCCUUGAAGCUUUUAAUAAACCCUAAUUUGCUCCCCCCUUCGUCUCCGGGUCUUUGAGGACAUAGAUUAAGCAGCCGAGCAAUGGCGACUUCGAGGCCAUCUGCUCCUCCUCCGCGCCUCCAGCGGCCCGCGGUGGCGAUGCCUCCCGCUUACAUGCCGCGGCAGACGUCCGCCGCUCUCGCCGCGGCAGCCCAGAAUCAGUUGACGGUGUUGGCGGCCAACAACGUCCGCCUCAGUGCCGUCGCGGAGCGCCUCGAGUUGUAUUUCCGCGGCGGCAUCUCUUUGAGCCCGUCGGACCUCUUCCGUCUCGUCUUCGCCCUCGCUAGGUCAGUCAUCGCCAAGUUUCUUUCUACAGGUUCUUUUUCAAAGUCGUAAGACGUUCUUGAAUUCCUUACGUCGUAACAACCGUAGUUGAGCUCUUUUUGUAAUAAAGUGAUUUUUUCUUAUUGUACUUAAUGAAGAUUUUCUGGUAAACACAGAGGUAUUGAUUAUGCCCUCUCAAGCAACGAUAUUCCUGGAAUUGCCAAACGUCUUCCUUCAUUAAUAAAACAGGUAUAUUCUUGAGGUGUUCUCCUGAACCCAGGAAUAAAUUUGAUAUUUUGAUAAAUGUUAUGAUAGUCAUUUUGGUGUUGUCAUAAGACGAAGACAUGAAGUCUGUUUGCAUAUUGUAAUAGAAAUGUAAUACUAAAUUUUAUUGGUUUAGCAAAAUACUUGAACAUUAUUUGGACAUUCUUGUUAUGAAUGUUGCUUUUAGUUGCUUAUUUUGUUAUCUUUUGUAGUAACGAUUUGAAAUUUUUAUCUGUUUUUUAUAAAUGUUAUAACUUGUAGCUAUUUUGGUGUUGCAAUAAGAUAGGACAUGAAGUCUGCGUGCAAAUUGUAAUAGAAUUGUAAUAUUAGUUUUUGAACUUAGCAAACUAGGUGAACAUUAUUUGACACGCUUGUCAUGGAUGUUGCUUAUAGCUGCUUGUUUUUGUUACCAGUUACUAAAUAACAAAUUGAAGGUUGUUAUUUGAACAUAAUAUGAACAAGCUAUUUGUAAGCUACUUGGCCCUAUGAUAGUUUUUUUGGAAAUUUAUUGUAAAUUUUAUGCAACAAAAAGAUGACACACAUCUGAUAAUAUUAGAAUUGCACAUUGAAAUUCUACUGAUUCUCUUAUUAGUUUUAUUUCAUGUCAAGGAUAUAAUAGUUAAAAUAUAAGAUCUUGCUAAUCUUUGUCCUGGAUAUAACACUCAAAAUAUAUGAUCUUGCUAAUUAUUGCUAUCACAAAAUAUCUCGCUAUUCAAAACUAACUAUUUCAAAUAUCUGAUUGCACCAACAAUAUAUAUUUAGUAUACUUGUAUGGGUUUCUCGUAUGUCUUGUUUUUAUUUUUUAUUUUUUUGUUUUAGAGCAUGUAGAUUAUUGUUUAGGGUGGUUAUUGCAAAUAAUUAAAAUCUUGUUCGGUAUUGAUACCAUAAGUGUACCAAGUGUUGGUAUGGUUCAGUAUCGAUGAGCAACGGUCAAGAAGGUUUGUGUUAUAUAUCUUGUCACUUUCGAGGAUUAUAUAUCCUGUAACUUUUGUGUUAUGUAGGUCUAUCAACGUCGGAAUGACCCUUCACUUCAGUCAGCCGUUAUGGUGCUAAUGAUUUCUGCUAAGGUAAUUUGAUUUACAGAUCUAGUAAGUGCCCUUUUCCAGCUCUGAGAUCACAAUCAGUUUGACUCAGGGUGAUAUAGUUGUUUUCUAUCUGCAGCUGUGAGUUGCAAGAAGCACGCAAUGACACGACAAACCUGAUUAUGGCUCAUGUUAAUUUGAUAAAUGAACUGCAUUUCUUACUGAAACUACAAAUUAAGUAGUUUUUGUACGGAAUUUAUCAAUUUGAUAUUUAUAGAUGAUAGCUAAAUAGCAUUUUGUCUUUAAUUGAAUUGAACUGACCAUGUAGGUUUACAGUCCCACACAUUUCUUUCUACUAUCAAGCAUUUUCUUCUUUUAUUUGUUACAUUGACUACUUAAUUAAGUACUUUAAACAUGUAUUUUAGUUAUCCGAGUAAUCUCGUGUCCAAUAUGCUUGCCUAGUUACUAAUUGAGUUGGUCUCAUUAUCUAGGUUUAUGACCUUACACAUGUCAGAUAAAAUGAAGUUUCAAGGGUGAUUAUUACUUUUGAAUUGCAAGAAACUAUCCAAUUUCCAAUCAAAAUCCCUCUAAAUCUAAAGGUUCAAUACUUUAUCAAAAACACUAACAAGACCAUUGGGGGUUAUAUACAUGUACAUGUAUUUAUAUGAAUGACAUUUUUAUUCCAUAAGGAUAUGUCCAUGGAGGCUUUGGCAAUUGUCCAUCUUCAUUGGUGAUGGAAUCCUCCAAAACAGGAAGAAUAGAAAUAGGACAUUAAUGUGUAUAUAUGUCUGUGUGUCUCUAUAUAUAUAUACACACACAUUAAUUGCCUAUUUUUAGCUGAAACUUAAACUGAUUUCAGGAGCAUUUACCAUUUUAGCAGACAGCUGCCAUCACCUAAUCUACCUUAAUCAUGACUUCCACCAACACGUCAAAUUUCUAUGACUUCAUUGCAGUUCAGACUUUCCAUGAUAGAUGUUGCAGACGGUUGUUGAUUGAUACAUCAUCCUGAUUAGAAUCGACCAUCUAGCAUGUUAUAAAGAAUCCCUGACAUUAUGGCUUAUUUUAUAGUUCUUAUGAUUUUGGUGACAAGGACUUGAUCCUAGAUUUAAAAUAACUCUUAUCAAAUGUAUCAGAUGAUUAGAACUCAGUCCUUUGCCUACUUAUCUAGUGUAGCAUGCAUAGUUUGAGUCCUUGUUAUGGCUUGGGGAUUUGCAAGAGAGGAAAAUAUCCCAUUUCUUCUCAUCCAUCUGAUAUUUGCUCCCUUUGAGUUUCACACAAUUGCUUCUUGGAGAUUGGAGAAACUUAUAGUAUUUAAGAUCUUUGGUGGUCGCAGUCUGCCAAUAUGUCUUGUCUUUGGCUUUCUGACCAUGAGUCUGCAAAGAUGCUUUGUCACUUUGCUUUGAUGCUCUUAUACAAUCACUCUCAUGGAGAGUUCAAGAUCUGUCACAGAAAUCCCUGUGGUGAACCUACAAUGUAUUUCCAUAGCUUUCCUGAUAAUCAUCUAUAGUCAACCUAUUUUCCUCUGUAAGUUGCUGAAAAUAUGUUUCUCUUAUGAGGUAAUUUGCCUUCGAUCACACAAAAAUGGUGUUUUUAUCCAUGUCAUGAAAUACUGUUAUUUAUGUCUUUGCAGUUAUUGCAAUUGCAUGGCAACAUUUGUAGAGUACAAUUUUGGAAGCAUCCAUGUGCAAUCCUAGUGGUUAUGAAUUGGAUAAAGAAUAUUUUGCAUGUGCCUUAACAAAAGGAAAAUUUGAAUAUUAGUACACAAUGCUGCUUUUAAGUGUGCUCGUAGCGAAUAGAAAUGUUAACGAAUCUUUAGUUGCAGUAUACUAUGAAAGAAGUAUAGAAAUGAGUCACAAUAAUGCUAUGUGGUGGGCCAAGUGUACCAAGGAUUUUUCCAAUGUUGCCUGUGUUCCCCAGUUGGUGGAGCCAUUCCGUCUCCCAGGUUUAAACCUGUUGUGAAAGAGGAAAAUAGAAGAAAAUAAAAACAACAUCGACCAAUUGAAAUAUCACUAGCAUAAUAUAGAAAAAAGAGUUGGGAAUUUAAUGAAUCAGGCAGACAAUCACUAUAUAAUAAUUAAUAGAAAACAGAACAUGAUAGCCCAAUGAUUGAAAGUCCAAUGGAAAACAAUAUUUGGUAAAUUAAUGGGAAUCAAACAAUCACAAUGCCCCAUAAUUCUAUUGAAGUCAAUGCUAGCUUAAUGAUUGAAACACAAUAUCUCAAAUCUGAAAAGCAAUACAACUUCAGUUUAUAAAUCUUAAACCACAUGAAUUGAUUGGGCUAGGGGAUCCAUUAUUGAAAUUGCAAAAUUGCCUUAUAGAUUAUAUCUAUGGCAUCAUGCUGCUAGGCCUUCUGGUAUUCAAUUGAUACCUUGCAUCUCUGUUUAUUGAUACAUGUGGAUAUAGCUAGGAGUUCCACAUAUUGGGUAUGGACAUGUGUUGACCUGUACCAAUUGGUAUUUAUUUGUAUCAAUUUGGCUUAAUGGUUAGUUCCUUUGGUCUAUGGUACCACCUGUAAGGUACAGUCUACUGUUGUUUCAUUAGACCUGCACAUAUCAUUGGAACUGCAUGGUAAAAUUGGCAUGGCAAUCCCAUGGGCCUAAUGUCCUCCUUUAAUUUUAAUUAAAAUGGUUUGCUUGUAUUUGGAAGCACGACAAAGUUGACCAUUAUUCUGCUCUUGUGGACAUUUGGUGCAUAAGUGGCACCAUCAACAUUGUCCUGUGACUUGUUUACAGAUCAUGUUUGUCAUUAGCUUGUUGAUGAACCUUCAUUAUUUUUUCUUUUUUUUAUGACUGCUUUUUCCUUUGAACUUAAUUGCUUUCCAUAUGGAGUUUGUGUUAUUGCUCUGUACUUCCCUUGGCUUCUGAGAUAGCAGAUUAUGCAACCAUCCUAUAACUUUUUUUCUUUUACAAUCUAUUCUGCAGAAUGCUUGUAAGAAUGGAUGGUUUUCUUCUCCAGAUGAAAAUGAACUUCUCUCCAUGGGAAAUGAGGUUCAAAGACAUUUGACAUAAAAUUGUCUUUUCUCAGACUUAUUUUUUCUAGGCUUAAGUGUGGUCUUUCUAAUUUCAGAAUUUUUUAAUACAUAGCUAUGUAGCAGCUUUUGUAUCUCAAUGAGUGAUACAAGUGAUACUUUUGUCGGCAAUGCUAAAGAUAUAAUUUCCAAGAUUAUACCCAGGUAUGUCUUUUUUGCCAUUGGAAGUGUUGUAUGUGUCGUCUUUUGUUUAAUCAAAGGAGUCUGCAACAGUAUUUAGUCUCAUAUGUUAGUAUUUAGUAAUGUACUGAUGGUCAUCUUUAAAUUAUUUUGUAGGUUUAUUCGUGGCUUUACUUUCACUACAGACCCACCCCUCUUAAUAAAACAAAAAGGGAAAUCAAAGAUAAAAAAUGCAGUUCUGUAACACGCGUAAUAGUGUGCUCUCUUCCUAACUUCUGUUGGCCCCUUGUUAGCGUGCAGUAUGUUUUGUGUGCCUACAUAAAUAAUGGUACCCGAAAUAGUCUUCGCUAGCCAUGGUACGGAGUAGGAUGAAUGGUUAAAUGGGGACACAAAUUUCUGCAUUGCCUACUAUUUAAAGGAUAUGACUUAUUGACUUGAAUGCUUUGUUGUAGUCUUGUUGUAGAUAGUAAGUAGUGUUACAGAACUUGAUGAAUGCCAGUUGGACAUCAAUUUGUUUUUUAUUCCUGAUGUUUUCCUUCCAAUUUAGUAGCACCCAUAAUUUGAUGCUGAGAAAUUAGAAAUACAUUUUUUCAUUAAAUUAAAGUGAGCCUUGCCAUAAUAGUCUAUCUUUAAGAGUAUGUAAGAAAGGAUAGUUGCUUGUCCUUUAAUUCCUUGUAAUCUCCCUUUUCCAUUAAUUUUUAGACAUUUCUUUCUCUUAGUUUGCUUAUGAUAGGAUCCAAGGAGAGAUUAGCCUGAAAAGUUUUUUACUCUGGCUUGAAUUUUCAUCUGAAACAAUUGAAACAUAAUUUUUUCUUAUCCUCUCCAACUGAGUUCAUUAACAAGGAUGAAACUUGGAAAUUCUGGUGUAGGUUAACUUGGCCAUAAUGUUUGCAAGUUUUAUUAAAUAGUUGUUGAAAUUCAGUAGUUUAGGGGAAUGGUCAGGUCAACAGCUCCUUAAGAAGCUGCCAUGGUUAUGACAAUGUUAUGGGAAUUCAGUAGUUUCCUGAUUGCUGUCUUAAGGGUUUUCUUUAUAUUGUUAUAUACUUUAUUUUGUCAUGUUUUCAUAUAAAGCAUUAUUUUAUGCAUCUGUUACUGAUGGUUCUUCAAUCUGCAGGUUUUAUCCACAGUUGAAGUUCAGUCGUUUAGUUAUUUCUUUCGAAGCAAAGGUCUGUGUGUGCAUAUCACCUCGUUGGAUAUGUGGAUAUUCCAUCUCAUGCUUAAAUUCAAAUUUCAUUUUGAUCAUUUAAAUGGUAUUGAGUUCUUCUUUUGAUCAAUAAAAUAGGCCCGAUACUUCAGCUUUUAUAGAUCUUGAUGAAAUAAAAAAGAAUACAUUAAAUUCAUGUUCACUGCUUUUUUGUUUUUGUUCAUCGAAGUUUCUGUGGUUUGCAUUCUUCUUCAUUAGGCAACUUGAUUUUAACUUGAAAAAUAUCAAAGAAGCUAGGAUAAUAUGCAAAUAAGCCUGUAUAAUUCUAGGAUCAUGCUCCUAACAUUUUAAUGUUCCAACUCAUAUAAAAGAAUGAAUGGGUUACCUUGAUAUAAUGGAGGUAGUUGUUCUUUUUAUCUUCUAUCCUUGCCAAUAGCACAAAUGCCAGAGUACCACAAUACUGUAUCGGAAUAUGUUGUGAAAUGCAUUUAUAAGAUGCAUCACUUCCCUGAAUUUGUUUGUUUUUCUAUUAUAUUCUGAUUUUGUAUUUGGGUUAUUUAUGGUAGACACCUUUUACUUGUAUUUUAAUUUGCUGUACAAUGAAAUCUACAGAUACACUUGUCACAUAAACGAACUUAAGUCUGCAUCCAGUCUGCCUUUUGUACUGCUAGUGCUGUCUCAGUUUAUGUCUUGAGAUGCUUUAACCCAUUUGAGCACAAGUUAUUGCUUUGAUUGAGAUUUCAUGACCUAAGAUACAGCUUGAAUUUUACCUUAUAGAUUCCAUAUUAAUUCUUUAACAUAAAUCGAAACUUUCUCUAUGAUGCUGUCAUAUUCUUUUGAAGAACUUGGAUUUUCGAACAGCAUAUUAAUUCAUUAAUAUGUUCUGCAGCCUGGUUAUGAUAUUUUAAUGGCUGAUUUUCACAUAUCAAGGAACAUACCUCCAGAUCAGAAGAUUGUAAGUGAGUUUCUUUGUCCAAUUAUUGUAGUAUGUUAGGGAUCAAAUAGACAUUAAUUAAACAGUCCCUAUUGAAAGUUUAUUCGGUCAACUAUCUAUUUUGCACUUUCUCUUCAGGAUGAUUUUGUUCUACAUUAUUUCUACAUUCAAGCCCUUUUCCUUGAUUAUAUUUUUAAGUUCAUGACAAGCUUUUUUUAUGUACAUUUUCUGUUGAUAAUAAGUUGUGAUUGGGUAUUGAUAUUAAUAUCUGUCACAGGAGCCAUUUAAUUAGUGUUUAUUGCUUCAUACAUAAAAAGAAUUCAUAAUAUAUUGCCCAACAAAUAUUGACAUGACUGACACUGCAGUGCAUUCCACUGGAUCAUGGAUCAUAUUUGUUAUUGGUUUGGCAUGCCAGCAUAAUUAUAUCCAUCUUUGUGUGGCAGUUGUAUGGGUUGAAUAGAUGUUGAAAAUCUUGAUUAUACUCAUGCUAACCAGUCGCCAAUAGGUUCAUGCCAACUUGAUAUGCCAUGUUGAGUUUAGCACUACUGAUGUGUCACUAGAAUGAAAAAUCAACCAAAAAGAAAAGAAAAUCUUCUAAAGCCCUUUGUUGGAUCAACAAAAAGAGGAAAUGAAAGAAAAAGAUAAAUCUUGAUUCUCCUCUCCUCUGGCAUAGCUAGUUAUAACAUCUUCUAAGAGACAAGGGCCUAACACUUAAGCUACCGAUGAUUUAAACAGACGUUUGGUCUUUUAAGUUGUAGUUUGUUGUGAUCUGAAAAAUUGAUGAUGGGUUGGUACAAGCUUGAAUUCAAUUAAUUUUGUUGACUAUGGGAUUUAAGAUUGGGAGGGUGGGCGGGAUGGCCUUGGUACAACGGUAAGAUUGCUCCUUUGCGAUAGGAGAGAUUAGGGUUUGAGUCAUGUAAACAGUCUUUUUAAAAUAUUUAAAGGUAAGGUUGCAUAUACAUUGACACUCCCCAAAUCCCGUAUUGGCGGGAGUUUGGUGCACUAGUUACGCCCUCUUUUUAUGGGAUUUAGGAUUGGAUUUCUUUGAAUUUCCCAAUUUGACAAAAUGGAGUUUGGGAUUGGUUUCCCUAUUCUUAAUGACUCUAAAAUCAGUCAAGGUAAAAUAUCAAUUGUGUUUUCAGAUCAUGAGGCAUCCAUCAAUGCAAGGUCUAGGAAAGUUCAAUAUACAAUCUUACCUUUUUAUAUAGAGAGUAUGUUUCCAAACUAACCUUGGCCUCCUAGGUUGCAAAGGAGGUCACAAAGGAGUACUCUUACUGAUAACAGGCUUUAUCUAUGGAAUCUGUCAAGAUCAGUCAAUACCAACUAGGAUUAUUCAAAUUUUUGCUGAUCCUGAUGGUCUCCCAUAAGAUCUACAAUUCAAGCAUUGGAAUUGGACAUUCUUGGUUUGGAUCAGACUGAAAUUUGUCCGUCGUAUAGAUUUCUUUUCAAGUCUGUCCUUGUUUUCAGCAAAAUAUCCAAGACAAGCCUCCUCUAGGAAGUAUUUCUGUGACUUACCUUCUUUCAGUUGACAUGGAAAACAAGUUAAAAACUGAUACUGUCUGCAUCGAUUUAUUCUUGCCAAGCUGCCAUCCGUGUUUGCGAUCUUAUGGAAGAGAACGAUAUCAUGAAUAGCAGUUCUCUAAACAAAAACGUUUAUCUGUGACAGCAAUUCUUUUAAAAAAUAACCUGAAUAACUUUUUACAAAAACAAGGCUAGCCAUGAAAACUUUUAUCCCUUUAACCUGUUUGAACUUCAAAAAAUAGAUGUACGUUCUAUUCUAAAGUCUCAUCAUUUGAAUAUAUUUAGUUUUUUUAUCUUUUUUCAAGUAAGUGUUCUAAUAUAUAUUAAAGCAUCCAACUCAGUACUUAUAUGUUUAUUAAUUUGUUUUGCAAGAAAAGUAGUGAAGUUUAGCCUUACUACCAUAAGGCUGUUGCAAAAAGAUUCCAAGAUGUGACUGCUAGAACUAGAUACAAAGCAUGCGAUGAUUUUCAAAAGGACAAAUAUGAAAGUACUUAAAGGAAAAAUAAAGAAGGUGAAAUUCAAGAAAGGUGAUGGGAGUUUCUAUCACAAAUUAUUAAUGAAAACUAUAUAAGUAGCUUAAUUUUACAGUAAGAAACAAGGAUCUGAAAAUUUUAGGUUUUUGUGGAAUUAAGUGUAAUGUUUGCUCCAGAAAGAACAAUUGUUGUACAAAUAUAGUUUUCAAAAUAAGUAGGACCAAGAUAUAGUUGUUUAGUAUCUAGUUUUGGCACCAUUUAUCAAUAAUUACUGUUGCAGUUGGAAUAUAUGGUUAAUAUAUAUCAAAAAUAAAGAUUUCAACGUUCAAUAAUAAGUUGAUGAUGAAGAAAAUUAUUUUUAAUGAUUAGACACGAUUGUUAUUGCUGACAGACAUGUUUAAUCUGUAAUUACUGGUGCACCUUAAGUCUUUAACAUCAAAAGGAAAAUUUUGUAUGUAUAGAAGGUCAAUUAUGUUAUUUUACAGUAUGAAGAUGAGGACCUAGGAAAGAUGUUUGAACUUAUUAUGGCAGAGGUUCGGAUCUCGUGGUGGCAUUUUGGUGGUUGGGGAAAAUUAAUCUUUUGGUAGAAACAACAAUGGUGAAUUUGGAAGAUUGUUUUGAUGGCUUGGAACCUUGGACUUGUCUCAUAAAAAAUAAGUAUCAAGAAUGGGAGAGGACAAAAGACUUGAAAACUGUGAAAUGAUGUGAAGAUCAUUGCAUCAUCUGAGAAUGUUGUUCUUGAUGGAGCUAGAUGGUAUAGGUUAUCAUCUGAGCUUUGGAGGCAUCUCACUAUACCGUAAAUAUCCUCAUGACAUUUCUUUUAUCCAUUUUAAGCUAAUUGAUUAGAUUCCAUGAAAUAUCCACUAUAUAGGGAUAUCUGUCAUUCUAAAAGAACAAAGAAAAGGUUGAAAGAAAAUAAAAGAAAUAUCAGUGUGUCUAUCUGCGCUAAACAUGUCAGCAUGUGCUCUCUUUCUUGCAGUGCCUCCUUGUUGUUCAGACAGAUAAUUUAGAUACAUCGUCAUGUAUUAUAAGCCCCCAACAUGUGAGGUAUAUCUUUUCGCACCUCUGGCGUUCUAGUUAAGCCCAAUGAUGUUGUGAUAUUGAGAUGUUUCCCACUUCAUAUUGCAGCUUUUUGGUGAAUGGAAAGGGCAUUGAGAGAAGGACAAAUGUUUCCAUGGUAUUUGGGCCUCAUCGACCUUUUAUCUUUUUGGUCUUGCCCCUGAUGCAAAGCUCCUGUCAUCUGUAGUAUUCUUUUGUUUAUUUAACAGGAUUCAGGACCUCAGUUUCCGACAGAUAUUACUAAAAUGCUAAAAUAUGGAACAAAUAUUAUCCAGGCUAUUGGAUAUUUCAGUGGUAUGCUGAUUGCACUUUUAUUUGGAUCCAGCAAUACUCUCAUUCUGGUAUAGUAUGUUUUCCAUGUAUAUGCGUUCUUUGUAUGUGCUUGUAACCUAAUUUGUUUUAUUUGAAACAGGUAGUUACAUCAUAGCCAUUGCCUUCAUCGGUAGAAUAACUACUCCUGCUGCU
rnacentral:lncRNA from 1 species